rnacentral:lncRNA from 1 species
UCAAUAUUUUUGAGUUUAUACUAGAGGCACUCCCUUUUCCUUUGCUAUUUUCACCAACACUAAACUUAGAUUGAUUUUAUCAAAUUUAGCAUGCAUUAAAGAAUCCCUGCUAUUAGGUUUUAUAUUGUAAUUGGCGAUUUUGUGAACAAAGGGACUUAAUUGAACAUGUUGUAAAAGUCAGGGACUUGGGUUGCAAUUUGUGUAGAUGGUUUAGGCUAGGGUUGAAUUUGGAACAAGGUAGAAGACUCGUUGAAUUUUCACUAGCUGAUCGCCAAGUUGUUGCUCAAGUAGAUGAAGCAAAACCAUUGUAGCCCCCUUGUCAUCCCAAUGUCGCUACAGCGAAGAAGUUGUUGAUUUAUUCUAUUUAGAGUGUAGCUCGAGUGACAGUCACACGUGGCCAAACCCUAGGUUGUGAUUUGAAGAAUUUUACACUGCCCAUGACACCUAUUUGUCCCCAAGAAUAAAUAUAGAAGUCAUGGACGUGAUAAUGAAAGGUUGCUACACUGUGCUAACUUUGAAUACACUUUAUAUCAUCUUCUAGAGAUCCAAGACAUAAUUUAUUGGAGGAUUCAAUCAUACUCAUCUUGUGAUUCGGCAACCAACUUUUGGAGAAAACAUCAAGGUACAAUAAUCCAAAACAUCGUACUUCCUUAAUCCGUUGAGGAAUGAACUCUCUCAUUGGAGGAUUAAGAGAGGUGGAUUGAAGCACAGUUACAUGGACAAGAAUAGGUAGUUCUUGGUGUUCCACUUGGAAAGAGAGACAUUUAGCGCAAGAACAAGAGGCUGUAGGAGAUAGCAUAUUGGACUACUAGAGGUAGAUUAGGAAGUCUAGCAGGAGGCUAGAGAUAUCUAUGGUAGUAGAAGGCUACAAAAGGUGGAUCAGGAGGUCUAGCAGGCUAGAGGUGUCUACGGCAGUAAAUUGUAAGACUGUGACAGCGGGUCUUAGUGGGUACAAGUUGUGGAAUUGUUGUGUAUUCCCUAGACUGUCCAUAGUGGAGGUAAUUGGCUUAGUCUCGGAGUUUUUCCCACGUUGGGUUUAUCCAUCAUCAAAUUUUGUGUUCUUUAUUUUCCAACAAUUUAUUAUAAACUGUGGUAUUUAAACAAAGGGUUAAUUAAAUUGCAUGCUUAAUCAUUUACAAACUAAUUAAAAGUGAUGUGUUUGCUUUAAUUAGUCAAUUCUGCACGUAAGUUCGAACUAAUCAAUAAUCUAGAACUUAAACUUGGUAAUCUUAAAAUUUAAAGUAGUGUGUUGCGUCCCAGACUCAAGAACUCACAUAUACUCAUGUCUUUAUCUCUUGCAUUUUCCCCAUGAUUUAUAUACGGGGUUUGAACCAAAAUCUACAUAAAGAGAUUUCAUCCAAAAGUAUUAAUAGACAUUUUUUCGGAUCAAUUAUUGGCAUUCUUUGUGACUAACAGUUCAAUUAUUUGGCCCCAUUAAUUAACAUGACAUUCAUUAUGAGUGAUUAUUCUUAGUUUAUUGGUGCAAAAGCUCCUUAUUCUUUUGACCUAACGUAGAGUACCCCCAUGUUUUCUCAAAUUGGCUAAAAGCCGUUACAUAAGACCUUUAAGGUGCGAAAGACCACAUUUUCUCAAUAACAUUAUGAAAUGAUGAAUAUAUCUUCCUAUUUAUAUAAAACAAAGAGAAAAGAAGAAAAGAAAUAAAGAUCUAAUAUCAAUCGUAGUCCUAAAUUUUUUAAAAAAGUGCAACCAAGUCCUAAAAAUAAUUAAAAAAUAAAAAUAAAAAAUGUCUUUCUUUCCCACCUACCCUAUAUUCCUACCCCUGCCACCACUCUUUGGUCUUUUUUCUAAAUAAAAAUUCUUGUUAAGGUUUUUUUGACCCCCAUGUCGUAAUCCUACACAUCUCAGAGAGAUAAAUUAUAAAGAAAAGAAAAGGACUAUUGACACGACUCGUCCCGAAUCAUCUUAGUGAGAUCCAUCACCAAGGUAGAGUAUGAGUUACUACUAAAUAGGCCCUAAAUAAGAUGCUUAUGAAACAGUAUGCAAUGGGUCCAAAAUCAUUACUUCGUACUUAAUUAAAUUGAAUCAUAUUGCUCCAUAUGUCGUGUGGUUAUCACUUUGAAAUCAUCACGCUCUUUUAGCUAUAAAGAACCAAUUGCUACUACAGGAAAUAUUAUGAGAAAAUAUAUGAGUUGAUAGCUCAGUGAGUAAAGAAGUUCGAAAAUAAUUAUACUUUUACAUUUAUACAUUUUUAUCGAAAAUCAAGUUGACAUUAUUUAAUAGUUUACAUUAUAAAGACAUAUAAUAAUAAUAAUAAUAAUAAUAAUAAUAAUAAUAAUAAUAAUAAUUGAGAUAUGAUAUACCUCAAAACACUGAAAAAUAUUAUCUCACAGUUAUGAUAUAAUGUAAUACAUUAAUUUAAUAAAUAAAUAAAAAGAAAGAAAAGAAAAGUCAAACAUGUCAUACCAAAAAAAAAAAAAAAUUAAAAAGUAUUGGUAUGCGGUAUAUCAAUCCACCUAUCAUUCAAAUCCAUUCAAAACACUCACAACCCACCAAAAAGCCAAGAGCAGGGAGAAAAAGAAGAGAAAAGAUGAAGGAAAAAAAAAGGAAAGGAAAGGAAGAAAAAAAUAGGAAAGUCCGCCUAUGUUAUUAGAAAAUAAGUGCUUCCUACUAGUAAGCUUGAAUUCUUCAAUUUAAAGGUAAGUAAAAAGUUACUUAUUGCGUAGUUAUGUUUAAUUUUAUAGUUUUUAAAUUGUUAGUUUAAAUUCAAUUUAUUGAAAGGGAACUAUUGAAUUAAGUAGAAUGAGCUAUACAAUUAAGUUAAGUGAAAGAAAAUUUAACUUAAAUGAUUAAAGGAACUUUAGAAAUCGCUUAAGAGUGAAAGAAUUAAGUUUGGGUAUCGCCUAUUUAAUUAUUGAAAUUUCUUAAAAUAGUUAAUUGUUGAUUUAAAAAUUAUAUUAUAUUUCAGGGCGAUAUGGAUAUUAGGGCAGCUUACCAACCGAGUUGAUUUUGGCGUAGAUAGUUCUGUGAAUGCAAAAAUUUAUAUAUUUUCAAAUAUUAAUAAGGCACUUAUACUAUUAUAUUACGUGCGAUUAUGUGAAUUAUUUGUUCAAUUACAUGAUUAAUAUGGAAAAGUUCUUUCACUAUGAUAUAUUUGGCAUUUAAAGUUUGGAUAUGGAUUAUUUGUGAAUUGAAAUGCACGAUAGAUGUGAUUUUGAGAUCGACCAGAAAAGUACUCAUAUUAUAUAUUUUUUCUAGUUCAUUGAGAGACUUUGACUGUGUUUUAUACUACACGGAGGGGUGGACCGUGGAUGAAGGGGUCUUGAUCGUGCAUAUAUAAUUUACAAAGGAACUUUGGCCAUGUUUUAGAAUGGAUUAUCAGAGGUCUUGAGACCGUCUUUUGUUUAUGGAAGGGCCAAGGGCUCGUGACGAAAGUUCGUUACUCGAGGGAUGAAUUACAGAUUUUAGUAAUAGGGUACAUUUUUGGUUGAUUUUUCAGUAUAUUUGAUAUGACGAUAGUAUACUAUAGGUAUUAGUUGAUGUUUAUAGCUUGACUUUGAGAUGAUAUUUUGUGACGUUAUGUGAAUGUAUCACAUUUUGGCUAUAAUUAUCUUGCGAGUUAUUCAAUUAUAUGAACUCGAUUUUUGAUGAAAAUGUAAAAUUGAAAAAGUAUAAUUAUUUUCAAACUUCUCCACUCACUGAGCUAUCAAUUCAUAUAUUUUCCCAUAAUUCUUCCUACGGUUAGCAUUUGAUUGUUUUUAGCUGAAAGAGCCUAAUGAUUUCGGAAUGAGUGCCAUACGACAUGUUGAGUGUUAUAACUCAUAUUGAUGAAGUACGAAAUAGAUAAUUUGGGCCCAUCUCAUUAUAUUUUGUAUAGCAUUGGAUUUUGGCGCAUUUUUUUAUAGUAACUCAUAGUCAGCCUUGGUGAUAUAUUUGACUUCUAGUCAACAUCUAUCAUCGGUGCACGUCAUGUUUUGGAUCCACUCGGAUGAUUCAGGACGGGUCAUAUCAUAUAAUCAUCGACUUAAUUCCAUAUCAUUAUCUCUUCACAUCAUAUGUAAUUUACCAAGUAUAUACUUUCUGAUUGAAAUAUGUAAUCUAUCCCUCAGGGCUAAGCACCAUCUCCACGGUGCGUGAACGAAAGUGGCUCUUAAAGACUUUUGAUUAUCAAUUAUAGAAUAUGGCCAAGGUUCCUCUGUGAACUAUAUGUGCAUGAUUGAGACAAAUGUCCGAUCAAGACCCUUCCGUGUAUUAUAGAACACGGCUAAGAUCUAUCUGUUAACUAGAAAAAGUAUAUAAUCACGAAUACUUUUUUUGGUCGAUCUCAAUAUCACAUGUCUCACAUUACAAUUCACAAGUAAUCAAUACACAAUAUUUAUGAUUUCACAUAAAAAGAUAAUGAAAGAACCUAUCAUAAUAAUCAUGUACAUCUCCAAGAAUUUAAACAUAAUAGCACAUAAUAUAAUAUUAUAAUUAUUCAUCAAUAUUUGAAAAUACUUAAGUUUUUCCAUUCACCAAGUUGUAGAUCGACGUGACUUCAAUCUUCUCAUCACCCUCUCACAUUCAAAUACAAAGCAUGACAUCUUGCACUUGUCCAAAGAUAUCAUAUCUCUUCACCAAGGUGCCUUAAUCAUUUUCCCACCAUUAGAAAUAAUAGUUUACCAAUAGGAACUUAGACGUCUUUAAUUUUUAAUCUCAUAAUCCCAAUUAGGGUUACUAACAACAUAUACUCCUUUAUAUACAUUAUUUUGACACCUAAUCCCCAAUAUUUAACACAUAAUUUCGUUUUCAUAUUAAACAAUCCAAGAAAAUCAAAAGAUUGUCAAAAACAGUACUGCAUUUCUAGAAUAUUGAUAUUUAGCACAAAUUUCUGUGUAUGGGAAAUUGUCUUUGAAGAUUUUGACAAAAAUAGCACUUUUUGGCUGAAUUUCAAAAGUAGCAACGAUGUAUUAACUUGCUUGAAAUUAGCCUAAAAUUUCUUGAAUAAUUGAGAAACUAAACCUCAAAUUUUUAAUCAAGUGAUUGAUAUCAUAUAACUACAACAAUUUUAAAGAUUGAAUCUAUAAUUUACAAACCCAUUUCAUAUUUAUUUGACUUCACCAUGAAUCUUCUAAUAUACAUUUCUCUCUGUAUUAAUAUUCUUAAAUACCUCAAAUACAUCUUAAUAACCUCUAAUGCUUGCUAAACUUCUGAAAUAAACCAAUUUUCCAUGAACCAUAAAAUCAAAUUGAAGCAAAUCUGUUCCUCACCUCUAAAACCGAGAAAUCGAACACCCUAGCUUAUUAGUGUUGCCAUCCUUUUGUUACUUUUCUUCUCCCCUUCUUUUUCUUUCUCUCUAUUCUUCCCUGUUUGUUUUUCUUUAUUCUCCAAAUAGAAAUAAUGGGUCCAAUGAGAGUUAAGUGGGUAUGUAUCACAAAUUUGCAAAAGAAGUCCCUUAACUUCUUAUAAUGUAACUUUUAGCCCCUUCCAUUCUCAUAUUAGAAACCAAAUCCUUGAAUUCUAUUUUAUUUUAUCUAUAGCCCUUAAGUAAUUGUAAUUAGAAAUUAAGUCCUUAUUUGAAUUUGACUUUGACUAAAUAUUUUCUUAACUUUGACUAUAAUGAAUAGUGUGCAACAAAAUAAUGGGUCCAAUGAGAGUUAAGUGGGUAUGUAUCACAAAUUUGCAAAAGAAGUCCCUUAACUUCUUAUAAUGUAACUUUUAGCCCCUUCCAUUCUCAUAUUAGAAACCAAAUCCUUGAAUUCUAUUUGAUUUUAUCUAUAGCCCUUAAGUAAUUGUAAUUAGAAAUUAAGUGCUAUGAAAAUGAUUUAUUUAAGUCCUUAUUUGAAUUUGACUUUGACUAAAUAUUUUCUUAACUUUGACUAUAAUGAAUAGUGUGCAACAACUUCAGAGGGAAAGAAAGAGAGCGGCAUUGAAUAAAACAGAGUUAUGGUGGACAACAUGGGAGUGGUGGCACCUCUUCAGAACUGGAUUCUAGAAGAUGAUCUCUUGCUUAAAAAUGACGUUGAGGUACAAAUCUUUAAGGUAGAUUUGGUUUUGUUCAAGAUUUCUUCUUCUUUUUCUUGGUGAUGUUGGUUUUCUACGUGGGUGCAUUUAUUGGAAAAUAAUUCUAGGUUCUUCAUUUAUUUUGAGAUUAUUUAAAUUUAAAAUGGAAAAAUCAAGUCUAAUUUUAAAAUGCAAUUGGGUUUCUUUGUAUUGAUUUAACUAGUAUUCCGAUUUUUCCCUAUAUUCUGAUAGAGGGUAUUGGAAUUGAUUUAUGCAAUUAUUUAAUAGUGGUGGUGGUGAAACGGAUUUUAAUUUUAAUUUUUAAUUUGGGACUCAUUUAUACUUAUUAUGAAAAAGUUAGGACUACAGUUCAAAUUAGAUCUUUAUUCUUUCGUCUUUUCUUUUUGUAUUAUUGAAAUAGGAUGAUAUAUUUUUCAUUUCACACGGCUUUAUUUAGGAAAUGAAAAAUGGAUAUUCCUCACCUCAGUGGUCAUAUAGAGGGCUUUUAGCCAAUUUGAAAAGAUAGGGGGUCUUUUGUAAUAGGUUCAUAAGAUAAAGGGUGUUUGUACCAAAAAGCCAUUAUUCUUGAAUUUCUUUUUCAUAUACUUUUCAAGAAAAGGCAAAACAGUAAAUUAAUGGAUAAAAAAGAAGAAGAAAUGUAGAGGAAUGGAUUAGAGACAUUGCCACAGAAGCAAAAAACAUUAUCGACUCAAAUUCUUUUUCCUUGAGCAUUUUCAAGCAAUGAGAAAUCAUUCAAAUAGUGCACGACUCUUUCUUUGACCUAAGGAAAUUUGAAUAUCCUUUUUAUCCCUACCGUUUGCUUCGGCAAAUCAAAAAAUGUUGCGGAUAUCCUGAACUUUGACUGAAAAUUUUCGAAAAGGAAGAGCAUGAGGACGUGUAUGAGAGUGUGGAUUCAAAACAAUGAAUGAGAAAUGGAAGUAGUGUGCAUGAGAUAUGCACUAAACAUGCACUUGAUGUUCACAUCCCAUAAAUUUUGGUGGCCCGUAUACAUAUACAGGUAUUAAAUUCUGAGUUAAUAGAAGUUAGCACAAGUGCAUUUCUAUCAAAACCUUUUUAUACAGAUACCAGCCCUUCUCCAUUGCUAUCUUCAACCAUUCUUCCAACGUUUUUCAUCUCUAACAUCAUAUGAUUUAAUCAAAUUCAAAAAUGAGUGAGAGAAGGAAUGCUUGUCGCUUCAUCUUCAUUAACUUUUCCCCAUGAUUAAUUAUAAGCUUCAGACAAAAUCUCCGAAAAAAGCUGUCCAAAAUUAUUAAUGACAUUCUACAGACUACAUGGCUAACAAAACAAUUGUCUAAACUGCUAAUUGAACACUUUAGCGUCUCCAUGUGUAAAAUAAAUAUUAAAAAAAUAAUAAAGAAUUGUAAAGGAGAAAAAAAAUAGUUGUUGGGAAUUUCUGCCAAACAACCCCCAACAGGCGAUGAUGUUUAAAGGUUAGUUUCAUAGAUUUCGGCCAAUGGCUAAAAUAGGAAAUCAACACCACCAUUAAUAGCUCGACCUGAAAAACUAAGUGGGCCAUUUGAAGCAACAUUUUUAGGAACGGUAGCUUAUAGCUCAUUCACUAAAUGGAUGACCCAUUUUUAUGGACUAGGCCCAUAUUGUUGGCUACCCUAUAGAUGUACACACACAUGUUAUUCUCCUUCCAUGUUGGUUACCUGUGGCCAAAGAGAAAUCAACAACAGUCCCUUUUUUAUUUGAAGUUAACAGCUGUGAGUUUUUCUCACUUCCUCUAUGUGAGUGAUCAGCUACCUUCUCUUUCUCUUUGUGAGAUAUUAUCCUUUGUGGGUUAUACAUAAACUUGGACAACCUUAGAGAAUGUUUUGUGGGUUGAGCUUUGGAUUUUGGAAGAUCUUAUUGAUGUUGAUAUUGGUUUCACAAAUUGAGCCCAUUUUUGUACAUCAAUUGAAAGUUAUUGGUUAGCACUUUCAUCACAACUAAAAAUCAACACAACUAGACACCUGAUGGAUGAAUGGACACCAUGUUGGGAAUAUACUUAACGUGCACAGCGGAAAAUAAACAAUUUUCGAUUCCCACCAAGGAUAUGAUUUGUGUUUAGAUAGAAAUUGUGAUAAAAGUCAUACCUUUUACCAGAUCUGCAAACUCCUUUGCUGUUCUUUCAUUCCAACGAUCUUGAUUCGCCACCUACAGCUAUCCAAUUGUCUUACCUCCAAUGGUGAUCUAUACAGAGAACAAGAUUGUAGGAUUUGUGCUAGCAAAAAUGAUGAAUUCUCUACAAAAUUGUAAACCCUAAUCACUUAUAUAUAUAAGCCUGAACGGGCUUGGUCUGACCUGGUCCAAUAUUUAAUUAAAUUCGAUCCGUGAAUUAAUUAAUUUAAUUAAUUAAUCCGGACCUAUAAAUAAGCAACACAAUUAAUUAAUUUAUCUAACGCUUGUUAAAUUAAUUAAGCGUUUGAUUAAUUAAUUAAUUGACAAAUCACAAUCUUUCAGUUCUCCUUUUGUAUGCGACCAAUCAGGUUCCCGAUCGUGAUGCCUAACGACUAAAAUAUUAUUUUGAUCUAAUCAAAAUUGGUAAAUUAAAACACCAUUUUAAUUUAUCACCAAUUCACACUCGCUGUUCCAUAUUGACAUUUAGCAAUGUGUUAGGGCAAUACAUGUGACGAAAAAUAUCACGUGGUAUGACAAAAUCAAACUCAUUCGUUUACCGUGAAACUAUAAUCCCUUUAUCAAUAUGAUCCGAUCAAUUGCGAGAUAUGGAAGUGUGUCAAUCUCGAUUAUCGAUCAUAUCUUUCACUCUACUAUUAAAUUAAUAUAAGUCGAAAACUCCUUUUUGACUUAUGAGUACACACUGGCCAAGGAUUUCGUUAUCGACUUAGUUGAAUGAAAUGCAGAUCAUAAUCUCUUACUAUCUAAGAGUGAUGAAUCCUCUAUUGUUCUUUCACACAAUAUCCAACACCAUCAAGCAUGAUUGUCCUCAUAUAAGAUACUAGACAAUCUCAAGUCAAAGGACUAAUCCAUUAUUGAACGUUAGAGAUUAAUUACUGAUACUCAGAUAGUUAACCAUGUGGAAUCUUUAGACCGGUCUCCAAUGUUUUUGUUCUAUAACAAAACAUCCACAUGUUCAUUCAAGUGUCACCACACUUUAGUUUGUGAGAUCAGCUACUUACUUUACAAGUAAGAAAUGUCACGCGUGAUGGUUUAUCUGUAAUAACAUAUCCAUAUCUCGUUAUUACUUAUGACCACGGACGAUUUAAGAUUCAAUCAUAUAUAAUUUAUAUCUCACAAUCACAAUUCCUUGUGAUUAACAAAUUACGAAGAUUUGAAUCUACGAACUCUAUUAUUUAAUUUAAUUAUAUUUUAAUUAAAUAAUAGAUCUACCAUUAAAUUGCAUUAAUUAUAUAUUAAAAGUAUUUAUGUCCAAGGUUGAUUGGACUUAGGGCAUAACACUUACACACCAUAUUUCGACUCCAAAUGACAAGCCAAAGUUGCCUGGUCGGCACGUGCAAUGCGUAGAGCAACAGAGAUGGCAGCGCAUGAGGCCUUCAUGUAGAGACUGGGGUAGUGUGUGGCGGUGAUUCUCAUGGAGGUCCUUGAAGGCAGUUUGUUGAAAUCUGGACUGUUUUUCCAUUGAGUAUUUGGUUGUCAAGUGUUAUUUUGGGUUGCUGCAGUUGCUGAAGGUUGUAGAGUGAACAAUGCUGGCCUUGAACCUGUAAAUUUUUCGCAUCUUUCCUUUAUUUACAAACCGACAGCUUGGUAGGCUCGGUGAAUUGGUUGAUCUCUUUAUUAGAAGGCCAUUAUGUGGGGGUGAUCAUUGGGUUAAAGAUUACCGUGCAGGGGUAAGCAUUGCUUGUUGCUAGAAUUUAGUAAUUAUUUGCCUUGUUUUACGUGUUUGAAGUGUUGAAAAUUGUUAAGUUUUAUUGCUGAAAAUUUUUCAUUGAUUCUGUGAUAUAAUUGUUGAAUGAGUUACUUUGUGAGACUUGAUGAGAAAUUUUGAUGAUGACAUCAUCUACUAUUUCGUUGUUUUGAGCCAUUUUAUUUAUGUUUAUUUAGUAUUAGAUGGGCUUGUAUUAAUGGGCUAGCCCAAGCUUUGACUUUUAGUCUUACUGUUUCUAUUUAAAUGUUUGUAAAUGAAACUUGGGGAAAGACUAGAAAUGGCUUCUUAUUUUUGUUGUUCUUCUUCUUCUUCGGCAGUGAGCUAGUAUCGUGAACUCCAGCGUUUAACACAGCUCCAAGUCAGGCGUUGGUUCUUCUUCUUCUUCUUCUUUGUGAGAUCAUAUUGUGAUCUAACACAGCUCCAAGUCCAGGGGUCCUUCUUCUUCAGCUUCUUCUCUGUUCUUCUUCUUCUUCUUCUUCUCUAUCAUCGUUAUUAUACUUUUUUCUUGUCCAGUUUACUUGAUGCAACAUCUCUUGUUUUUGUUGGUAUAAAUGGAUGGUGAUGAAACUUAAACUAUUGACCUCUUCUUAAUCUGACAAGUUGAACAACCUUAUCUCCAUCAAUUUCAAGUCUUAUCAUGUAGUCAACAACAACAUAAGCUCAUCACUACUUGAUUCCAUCCUCUAGGACCAAUGGAAUCUCAAAAUUUUAGGUAGAGAAUCAUAAAACAUGAAAUAAAAACUGUGAGAUUCGAACCAUGGUAUUUUGCUUCCAGAAUUUUAAUUACACUGAAGUCGUGUUUUGUGGAAAUGCAACACUAUUAAAUUGGCACUUUCAUCCGGAUGGUAACACGUGGUUGAACCUUGGCUGUUGGAUUGAUUCUAGAACCUUCUCCAUUAUAAUGUGCCUUUUCACUUGGCACCGGCAUUGACUCCAUUAUGCGUUUUACUCUUGGUCUUUUAGAGAGAGAGAGUGAGAAGAAAAACCUCUCGUCUGGCUAGCGUUUGUUCUUCUUGAUACUGUGGGGCUCAAAUCUCUGAUUUGACGCCUUAAAUGUGAAAGACUUAGUGGUUUCGUUUAGAUAUUUUGAGUGAUUAUCUGUAAUGGCUUGUGUCCUCUUCUGUUUUGAUGUUUUGAGAGGGAUACAGUGAAGUUUCUUUGUGAUUCUUUGUAGGUUUUGAGUCGAUCUUGAGAGAUAAGUAUCUUUACUUCAUCUCAGUGUAUUUGUUGAACUCUUGUAACCCUUCGUUGCCAUUUUUGGCUAUUAUAGUGCAACUAAACGUAAUCCAACUUGUUGGAUGCUCAACGGGGGAUGUAGGCGUUAGAUGUGAUCGUCGAACCUCCAGGGCUUAGGCCGAAAGAAAUCUUGUGUUGAUUCUUGAAUUUUCUGCACAGUUUACUUUUGGUUGAUGUCAAUUUCUUGCUUCUUGGUUUAAUAUUGUGUGACCUUUUGCCUUACAGUGGUAUCAAAGCCAUACUGAGGAGUAAGAUACCCGGAUCUUGGAGAGAAAGGUGGAUCUUUGAUAGAUCUUGAAUUUUUUGGAACUGCUGAAAAGCAUAUUUGAACUGCCUCGAGUCAUUGAACUCUCUGGUUGAGAUAUUUUUUAACUAACUACAUAUUACAUUUGAGAUAUUUGUGUUUCUUGAACUUUCCCUGAUGUUACAGUACACCGUUGAAACCCCCUUGAGACUAAUCUUUGUCCAGUGGCUCCUACGAGGCCACUGGAAUCUGAGAUAAAUCAAGUACGGGUGUGUAACUUGGGAGAAUCUAGCUGGAGAGAUCUGCGAAACCUUAUAAUCUAAUCUUAUUAAUUGUUUUUCUACUGAUUGAUUAAGCCUGCUCUCUCUGAUUGAUAUUUCUUGAUUGGUGAAAUCCUGUAUUACUUUGUGAUUUACUAUGAUUUUAAAGUUGACAAUUUAGGGUUUAUGUUUACAAUUGUUCUGAUUUUUUGCUAAAAUCCUAUUUUGUAAUAACUUGCAUGCAUUAUGGCUACUGUAAAAUUUGAAGGGAGUCAAUUUGAUGGUAAAGUUGAUUUUGAUAUGUGGAGUCAGAAAAUGAAAGCCAUUUUGAUGCAAAUGAAAUGUGCUAAGGCAUUAGAUGAUUCAUGGCCUGAGGGUUUAGCACCUAAUAAGAAAUCUGAACUUGAGGAAAUUGCUUGAAGUAACAUAUUUCUGUAUUUGUCUGAUAAUGUGAUCAGAGAGGUAGGUGAAACUAUUACUGCCUCUGAUCUUUCGGCCAAACUUAAGGUUAAAUAUGAGACCAAAACCACUCCAAACAAAUGUUUUCUUCUAAAACAAUUUUUCUCCUUUAAAAUGGAUCCUGCAGUUGACAUAGAAGAGAACUUUAGUAGGUUCACAAAACUUACCCAAGACUUGGCCAAUUGUGAUGAAAAACUUUCAAAAGAUCAAUUAGUUGUAGUUCUGUUAAACUCCAUAAGUGACAAGUAUAAGGACAUUAAAGUUUCCCUUGAAUAUGGUAGGGAAGAACUCACUAUUGAUGAUAUAACCAAUGCUUUAAGGAAUAAAGCUUUAGAAAUUAAGGCUGAGUCAAGUAACAGUCAUACUGGAACUAGUUACUUAAUUAAAGGAAAAUCUUUUGAAAAGCCUAUACAAAAUUUUAAGUUUUCAAAAACUAAUAAAAGAUGGGUUGACAAAAGUAAGACAAAAAAUAAUGCAAAAGGUAAAAAAAUGCUAUUAUUGUGGUAGGCUUGGUCAUUUUGCAAAAGAUUGUUUUAAAAAGAAAAAUGAUUCAAAAGAAAAGGGCAUUGAUGGAAGUAAUGCACUGGCGUAUGAUUAAACUGAAACAGAAAAUGGUUUUGUGUUAGUAAGUGCUGAAAAAUGCCUAAGUAAUGAAUGUAUACUUGACUCAGGAUGUUCUUUUCAAAUGUGCCCCAACAAAAACUGUUUUAUAAAUUUAGAAAGAACCAAAGGGGGACAGGUUAUAAUGGGAAAUAACUUUGCAUGUAAAGUGAGUGGAAUUGGGACUGUCAAAUUAUUACUAGAAAAUUGUAAUGUUUUGUUUCUAGAAAACACAAGACAUGUCCCAGAUUUGAAAAGGAACUUAGUAUCCUUAGGAAUGUUAGAUGACAAGGAGUUUAAUAUAAUUAUGGGUCAAGGACAUAUAAAAAUUCUUAGGGGAAAUGACUUGGUCACUUCAACCCCUAAGAGACAUGGCCAUUAUUGUCUGAAUACAAAACCUUUGCUUGGUUUAACUGCUUCUGUUGUAUCUGAAAAUAUAGAUAAUAGAAAGUCAACUUCAUCUUGUUUUUAUACACUAUGUGGUACUGCCAUUAGUUGGAAGUCUCAACUUCAGAAAAUUGUAGCUCUGUCAUCUACUGAGGCAGAAUACAAAGCAGCAACUGACGCUGUUAAGGAGGGGAUUUGGUUAAAUGGUUUAUUGACAGAAAUCGAUUUUAAUGAUAAUCUCACUGUGGUAUUUUCUGAUAAUCAAAGUGCCAUUCACCUAAGCAAAAAUCUCAUGUUUCAGGACAGAUCAAAACAUAUUGAUGUUAAGUAUCGUUUUAUAAGAGAUAUAAUCUCAAAAGGUGAAAUUAAGAUUGAUAAAGUUUCUACUCAUUUUAAUCCAUCAGAUAUAGGUACAAAAGUAAUUCCAUUAAACAAAUUCCUAAACUGUUUGAAACUUUUAUCUGUUGAUACUUUGUAAUUUUUGUACAGGUAAAUAGAACAAAUGAUAAUGAGUUAAGGAUUUGCUCCUGGCUGCACUAUAGUUCCCAAAUUCCGGUAGCAAGGUGGAGAAUGUGAGAUUCGAACCACGGUAUUUUGCUUCCAGAAUUUUAAUUACACUGAAGUUGUGUUUUGUGGAAAUGCAACUCUAUUAAAUUGGCACUUUCAUCUGGAUGGUGACACGUGGUUGAACCUUGGCUGUUGGAUUGAUUCUGGAAAUUUCUCCAUUAUAAUGUGCCGUUUCACUUGGCACCUGCAUUGACUCCAUUACGCGUUUUACUCUUGGUCUUUUAGAGAGAGAGAGAGAGUGAGAAGAAAAACCUCUCGUCUAGCUAGGGUUUGUUCUUCUUGAUACUGUGGCUCAAAUCUCUAAUUUGAGGCCUUAAAUGUGAAAGUCUUAGUGAUUUCGUUUAGAUAUUCUGAGUGAUUAUCUAUAAUGGCUUGUGUCCUCUUCUAUUGUAAUGUUUUGAGAGGGAUACAGUGAAGUUUCUUCGUGAUUCUUCGAAGGUUUUAAGUCGAUCUUGAGAGAUAAGUAUCUUUACUUCAUCUCAGUGUAUUUGUUGAACUCUUGUAACACUUCGUUGCCAUUUUUGGCUAUUACAGUGCAACCGAGCGUAAUCCAAUUUGUUGGAUGCUCAACGGGGGAUGUAGGCGUUAUAUGUGGUCGCCGAACCUCCGGGGCUUAGGCCGAAAGAAAUCUUGUGUUGAUUCUUUAAUUUUCUGCACAGUUUACUUUUGGUCGAUUUCAAUUUCUUGCUUCUUGGUUUAAUAUUGUGUGACCUUUUGCCUUACAAAAACCUACCAAAAUCAGUAAUAUCACCAUUUCUCCAUGCUGCUACUAACUGGGACCUCUAACCAAUAUUCAAAAACUGAAACUCCAUGACCUCAAAUUUCGCAAAUUAGAUCUGGUGGAUACUUUGCUUAGAUCUCUUGAACAAUAGGACGUAUUUGUUGUUAUGGUGUUGAGAAACGCCAAUUGUAGUAGUGUGUAGUAGGUUUCAAGAUUUUGCUAGUAGGGUCCAUGAAUUAGGUCAACAAGAUGAUUCAUUGGAAAGAAAGGAUGAGAGGGAGGUGGUAAAUGAGCCAAAGGGAUGGUGGGAUGGGUGUUGGUGCAUGCGUAAGUGGCAAUUUUUUAUAAUCCCAUUGCCUAUGCAGGGAGUAUUGAUGUCUUCGAAGAUUCAUCUUGGAUGGAUUCCACUUACACAACUUAAUUAUUGUUUUCUAACUAUUAUCAAUGUGCUCAUAUGAUUUAUCUCGAGUCAUGGUUGCCAUUAAGUCAAAAUUCUGCUCUCCGAUAUGACUUAUUUUGAGGUGGGCCUCCUUAUUUUACGCUAGAAAGGUUGGUUAUUCUCACAUUUUUGGGAACUUCUCCAAGGGGUUUUACUUCUGCAAUUUCCAUUUCCAAUUCCUGGUAUAGGAAAGGUGUUAGCUCAUGUUACUUGUUAGAUGCAGAGACUAAUGAGAGGAGGAUAAGGUUUCCGAAUAUCAAUGCUGAUGAAGUUUCGAGAAGCUUAUUUUAUAAUAAGGAUAUUGAUUUACUCAUCAUUAUUUCAGUUUAUGCUUCAUAUAGUGUAGAACCACUGGGUAGUUUAGUUUUUAAUUCCGUUCUUACUGUCUCUUUCUCAUGCAUCACUUCCCUAAACUAUUUCAGUUACAUGACCAGACAUUGUUUAGGUGGCCCAGUUGUUUGGAAUUAUUAAUGGUUGUUGUAUAUUUUAUGAUUACUCUAGAAUUCAUUAGAAUUGCCUUGGGGAGCAAGGAAAUAGAAGUCCCUAGAAUUUGUUGAUGAGCAAGCAAAAAUAGUAAUUUAAAAUUAAAAAAUCAGAAUUCUCUAAAUGUCUUGGAAAACAAGUAGUAAAGUAAUGAAAAAAUAAGAAUUUUCUAGAAUAAUUUCCACCACCAUUUUGGGUGUAUAAAUAGAGGCUACCACCUUCAAAAUGUUGUAACAAAACAAAAAAUUGAAAAGAGCAUCCAAACUCUUGCAUUGUAAAUCAAAAGUCACUUUGUAAAACUUUAAUAAAAUUAUUUUCUUCCUCCUUCAACUAUCUUGUUCAAUUAAAUUACUCCUAUCAUUUCUAUCCCACAUAAAAUCUACUUAACCACUUCUAUCUAAACCCAUUUAUUUUUUCUACUCAAAAUAAAAAACCUUUAGGAAUGUGAUGGUGUGAAAGGAAGGAUUCUUAUAAGGCACAAGAUAGACAUGAAGAUUCAACCAACUCAGCUGUAUUUGGCUUCUUAUAUAACCUAUUUUUCAGAAUCUUGCACAAUUUCCUGAUGUAUAUACUUUUCAUGUUUUAUUGCAUCAUAUACAAGGUCAUUGUCUUGAAAACUUAUAUAAGUUUUGUCUCCAUUUCAGGUAACAUGUUCAAGAGAGUGCACAUCAUGAAUGGCUUCAGAUGGUUGUUAUGAUGUACCUAUUUCUAGUCUGCAUGAUGGUUGUAUUUCUUCAGCUCCAAAAUUAAAUAGUCCUCAUUCUGCUUCCCAACGUUAUCUAAAUCAUCCUUUCUAUCAUAUUCUUUAACUGAAAGAUUAUUUAUUUCUUUAUCCUCAAACUCAUUUUCUGCCACGCGUUCUUCAAUAAAUCACUUCUCAACUAAAAAGGUAUUUUUCUUCUCUGUGGAAAAAAGACUUCUUUCCACAAGCUCUUUGUGUCUUGUAUACACGUCCACAAAUUUGUGGACCCAUAACUUAUUACUUGCUUUUUAUUCAGCAUUCUUUGGAACCUGCGUCUGAAAUUCUAACUAAAACACUCUGAAACAAUGUUUUAUUUAUUCAUAAAAAAAUUAGUCUUCAAAACACCGUCUUUCGUGCAGAUCAGAUUCCUUUUUUAUUAAUGAACGGAUGGUAUGUUCAUAAUUUUCAUAAAAGAGUGGUGGCGAGACAUGUACCUAGAUUUUUGCUGGCUCCAAUACCGUGCCGUACUUCAUCUACAAGCUUAAGCUGUUGACUGGGAACAAAUUUAUUCAUUUUAAUUUAAUAUUAAUGGUCUUUAGGGUAUUUAUUCUUCUGAGAACAUAUGAUGCAGAUUCCUGAAAGUGUGGUUGACCUAUGCUAGAAUUAACUAUGAUGCUGCUUAUUUUCCAGAGUGUUGAGCUGUCAUGAAAAUCCUUGCUGCAAUGCAAACAGGGUCUAUAAAUAAGAAAAUCCAUAAAAGGCCUCGUUGAAAUUUGAAAAAGUUCAGUGUUUCAUACCGUGGAAAGGGAAUGUUGACCAAUUUGAUUAGGGAUGCAUACUUCAAAUGGAAUCGAAUUGCUCGAAUUGGAAUCGAAUUUAUCACUUUUAUAAUUUUUAUUUUAUUUUAUUUUAUUUUUUUUACAAUUUAUUCAUCCUGAUUCUGCUAUAAUUCUGCUAUAUAUUUUGCCUUAGAUUGAGACUUUAACUAGGAAUUCUGAUGUAUAUUUGGAACAGUCUCAUUCUCAAUUGAAAGAAUCUAUUGAGGAACAUGGCCCCUAGCCUUGGUAAUAUAAGCAACAUUAAUUGUAUUAUAAAGGAUGGGUAAGACAGCAUAAAUCAAUAGAUUCUUUCAAUUGAGGAUGAGACUAUUUCGAAGUUUUUUAACCAUCUCCUUCAUCAGAACAAGGUGGAUUUCAUUGAACAGUUCAAUGAGAAGCUUGUUGUCAAACAAAGGAACAAGACCACCAAAUUCUUGAUGUAAGUUGUUUUUUGUCUUAUAUUUGUAUAUUACUUUGUAGCAUGUUUAGCACGAAGAUUAGUUAGCAAUGAACUGUAAUGAAGAAAGAAAGUGGAGUUAACAACCUUAUUCGGUCAUUUCCCAUUUUGCGCACCAAACAUGCACUUGAUGUUUACAUCCUAUAAAAUCUAUACGAGUCCGCAACUUGGACUUAAAGUUAGUAGAAGUGAAUUCCUGUUAAAAUAUUUUGUACAUGUACAUAAGGCGUUCCUUUUUCAUUUGCUAUUUUCAUCCGUCCUCCCACAUUUUUCAACACUAAAAUCAUAUGGCUUAAUCAAUUUCAGCACGAGUAAAAAAAAUAUUACACACGGCUUCAUCUUCAUCAACUUUUCCCCUAUGAUAAUAUACAGGUUUCACUUCUUUUUGUGCUCAUAUUUUUGUUUAGGUUUGGCAAUUAGAUAAGCUCAGCUGCUUUUAUUUCUUUCUCGUCCAUUUUUUUAGUCUAGGUAUAAAUAUGUUUCCGUGUAUGCUAUGGGGUUGUGAGACAUGAAUAUUGAAUCAAUUGGAAACAUGCACCAAACAUCUUCACAUCUUGUAAAAUCCAAUAUCUUUUCCAUAUACAAUUUCACAAUUCUUCUGUGUCUUUUGCCUCUACAAAAACCGCUCUCUAUAUUUCUCUCCUUGGUUCAGCCAAGUUAAAUGGUGAAUUUUUUUAUUUUUUAUUUAUUUUGCCUGAAAAUUUUAUGUGAGAGUGCACAGGUGUAUGAGACUAUGGAUGUUGGUUAAGUGUGUAUUUAUAUGAGAAAUAGUGAGAGAGAUUGAGAAAUAGUAGUGAUAUGCACCAAACAUGCACUAAACUUGCACUUAUGUUGACAUCAUGUGGAAUCUAUUACCUUUUGUGUACACAGGUACACAAUUCCAAGUAAAUAGAAGUUAUUACAAAUGAUAAUUGUCGUCAAAUGUAACACUCCAAAUUUUCAUAAACUUUGGAGUGCUACCAAAAAAUGCACUUUUCUUUGUGUUAAAGGCAGAACGAUGAAAUAAAAUUCUUUAUAAAAAAAUAACUGGAACAUUCAUAAAUCUAAAUGAAAUCAUUGAAAUCGUAUCUUUGAAAAAAAAAAAUAAACACGCAACUAAUUAAAUAACACGUUUUUGAACAAAUUAAACUAACUAACAAAUUGAAAAAUAGAAAACUUAAUGCUUUUAUUUUUAUUUUUAUUUUGAAUUAUCUUUGCAGCCCGUAUCACUAUCCCCCACCAUUUCAACUGACCUGUAAAUUUUUUUGUAAGAGGGAGUAUUUAAAAAUAUCCAGUAAGAUACGUGCAAUUUUCGUGGAUAAUUAUAUAACAAUAAAAUCUACAUUUCAUACCACAUUUCUCUUAUGGAGUAUAUUGGUGACCAAACGACAUACUUAUCAUUAGUCAUUUAAAUUUCCAAAGGAUUUCACAUUUCGUUAUGAAGAACCCAAUAGAGUUUACAUUUCGUUAGGUCGAACCCGAAGGUCCACCGAUAAUUCAUGCAUAAAUUAUUGGAUUUAAAAGUAUACUGAAAUAAAUCAUUUACACAAAAGUAUCGUACUUUGAUUUUGAAAGGUUGGAAAAAAUAAGAUCUUGCACGUAAAAAUUCUCUUCUUAUUUUUCUAUACCUUUUCCUCUCCUCUCUCUUUAUCAUGGCUCUCUUUAUUUUCCGUGAUGAAAUAAUGCAAAUUCUUGCAGUAGUUAUGGUUGAAAUCUCAAUUGAGUUUGCAUGCAACUAGAAUUGAAAAACCUUGUAAUAUAAGGAAUUUGAAUAAGAAUUGAUUUCAAAUGGUAUAGUAGUAUACUCUACUAUUGAUUUUCCUGGUAUAAUCAUCCCAUUAAAAGUAGGACACUUGGCCAACUAGUGCUUGGUUUCGAAAAGUGAUUUGAAUUGCACUAUACUAUUGGUUUCAUAUAAAUCACGUGUGGUAGGAAUUACAAAAUUAAAAGAAUUUUACAUAAUUAAUAUUGCAAGCCCCACCAACUCGAUUAACUUGUUAUUCUUUUAAUCUGACUUAUCUUGAUGCAGUCUAAUCCAAAAUAACUUUUUUUCUCGUGUUAAUGACUUCUAACUAAUUACGAGCUACAAAAAGUAUUCAAUAUCGAUAUACUUAUUCCCUAUAUCAAAAUCUAAUUAUUUGCCCAAAAUAAAAUUAGAAUUAAACUAUUUCACUUUAGUUCCUCUACUUUCAAAAUAUAAAUAUAUAGCAUAUGGAAUAAAAAAAAUUUAUUCUAUAAAAUUUUCGGAGAAUUACAAACUUUCCUCUUUAAAAAGAAUUUCGUCCUCAAAAUUACCUGAGUUGGUUAACAUGUUUUGGAUACUUGACUUUGACAUACUUAUAAUAGUACAUAACAUGAAGCAAGAAAACUCUUAAUCAUGCUAAAAGAAUGACAUUUCAUUUCAUACCUUGGAUCCAUCGGAGAGUGGUUGAACAGUGAGUGUCGCGUGCCAAGAAUUUUUUUUUAUUUUUAUCAUUGCAUGGUUAAGACUUUAAAAAUUUUACAUUGCCCUUAAAUUCCUAAUGUUUAUGAAAAUACUUUAUUUUCAUUUCUAUUAAAAUUUUUCUAAAAUAGGAUUUUCUCAAAAUAAAAGUUUUCAAAAAGAUAAUUUUUUUAAAUUUGGAAUGGUUUAAAAUAUUGUUUUUUUGUCUUGUUGAUUUAAAUACUGCGCAACCAAGUCUUUCAGAUAAGGGGGGAUCACAAGUGGACCUCUUAAAUCAUGAGCUCUUCUUAAACAGUUUAGGCAACCUUUCAAUUUUACUAAUACGUAAAUCAAGAAAAUUCAAACAAUAAGUAGGAACUAGAGAUCUCUUAAAACAUAUAUUUCUAAUUGACAAAUUCCUAUCAAAACUCAUUUUGUUGGGGCAAAAAAAAAAUGUCUACACAAGGUGGAACCUGGGCUCUGAUACCAACAGGGUGGUGGGACAUCAAGAUUGAAUCAAUUAGCAAAUGGUGGGUUUCAGAAGGAUCAAGACUAGCGGGGUAUGAUGAGGAUUCUUACGAUGCCUGAAAAAUUGACAAAGAAGUGGAGAAGCUUUCUCCCAAUGGUGAUUUUGAAGACAAUUUAGCUGCCUAUCAUCAUUAUGUCUCUCAUAUCAUGCUCGAUGAGAGCCAAAGCCAAGAUUUGACGCAAUAUCAAACAAGAGAUCUGAAGAGAUUUCUUUGAAUGCAGUAGGUAAAAGUGAUGCAGAUGCUGAUGAUGAGGAAAUUGAAAUAAUUCCGAGGAUGGUGAAGAUGUUUCCGUUUGCUACAGAUGAAGGUUAAUGAAAGCAUGAAGAAGAAGAUGGAGAGCUUGAUGUUAAAGCCGAAAGUGAAGGCAAGUCUGAGAAUACGAGUAAUGGUGCACUAAUGCCACAGUUUGAUAUUUUUUCUGCUCACAUGUAAACAUGGCCUCUCUUUUGAGAGGCAGUGAUGGAAAUGAUAGAAAUCCACCAACUAGAGGUAGAAGAGGUUAUACUUUGUUUUCACAAGCUAUUCCUAUAUUUUUCAACGUUUUAAAAUUCUAAAUUCAUACCGAUUUCAUCAGUUUUAGCUUGUGUCGAAGAAUAUCUACUCACAACUUCAUCUUCAUCAACAAUUCCUAAGAUUAUAUAUAGGAUUAUGGAAAAAAAUUUCCAUUUCCAUGACUGUAAGAGCAUACUUACAGCAAACAUGCACCUAAUGUGCACCAAAUGUACACUUAGAUGUUCACAUCUUAUAAAUUUUGAUAUCCUGUGCAUAUACGGGUUCACAACCCUAAAUUAUUAGAAGUCAGUUCGAAGACCCUUUCUUCUUUCAAAGAAAAAUUGAGUAAAAUUUCUUUUUUUCCUACCAUUUUCUUCUCUAUAGAUAAGACUCUUUAUUUUUCUAUUUGUAGUUUAGCAAAUGUGAAAUGGUGCGGACGCUAGUGGAGCCAGUUCUUUGCGAGCCAACGCUAUCGCUCGUGCUGGGUUCUCCAGAAUUAACGGGUCCUAUGAUGAUGAAGUUCAAGAAGCAGGGUUUACCUGAUCUGACUUUUAUGAAUGGAGAAAUGAACGUAAUGGAAAGUGGAAGCAGAAAUUGGAGGUGAUAACAUAGUAGUAGCUUAACUCGUGGAUUUGUGAUUGGUUUUGGGCUAUGAACCGGCCCAAUAGUUUAUAAGUCCAUCACUGAUACAUGUGGAAUUUCAAGAAUUAUUUGUGAUACAUUUGUGACUUGGUAUGUAAGACCUAUGUGAUAUUGAGAUCGGCCAGAAAAUUGUCCAUGAUUAUAUAUUUCUUCUAGUUCACUGAGAGGCCUUGACCGUGUUCUAUACUAGACUAAGGAGUCUUUACUAGGGAUGAAAAUGCCUUGACCAUGUACAUAUAGUUCAUUUAGGGGUCUUGGCUGUGUUCUAAAAUUAAUUAUGAGAGAUUUUUGAGAUCAACUUCCGUUUACCGAAGGGGCUUAAGGCCCAUGUUGGGAGUGCUUAGCCCAAUGGGUAGUCUACACAUGUAUGACCAGCUUACACAUUUCAAUUAGAGGGUACAUUUUUAGUGAAUUUUUUCAGUACGUUUGAUACGAUGAGAUUAUAGUAUGAUUAACAGCUUAUGUUUAUAUCAUGACUUGAGAUGAUAUUUUACGAAGUUAUGUGAAUGUCUCAUUUUUUAGUUUUAAUUAUAUGAAGUUAUCUUGUGAAUUAUUAAAUGAUAUGAACAUGAUUUUUGAUAAAAAUGUAUAAAUGAGAAGGUAUAAUUAUUUUCGAAUUUCUCCUCUCACUGAGAUAUCAACUCAUAUAUUUUCCUACGUUUUUCUUAUCAAGCAGCAGUUAAGUAUCUGGGCACCUUUUGAAGUUGAGCUUUUGAUUUUGGAGUCAGAGCCAGACGACAGGAUUUGCUAGUAUGACUUACUUCAUAGAAUGUUCAUGUGUAGGUGUGAUUUUGCAUCAUUUGUAGAUAGUUAUGGGGCUCACUAUGUAUGUGUAUCCAUAUGUACAUUUCAUAUUAUUAUCUGGGUGAAAAUUGAGAUUUAGGCUUAUUUUUAUUGUGUUGUGUUAUGUUCUGGGAUUUGUGUAUAGUGAAUUACAGGUUGAUUAGUCAUAUUUACAAGAGAGAUAAUGUCGAAAUUUUGUUAAAAAUAAAUUAUAAAAAGUAGUGUUUGUAGUAGCCUUGAUGCUUGAUCCGACUUUUAGUUGGUAUUUAUCAUCGGUGCAUGCCACAUUCCAAGUCCAGUAACAUUACAUGGGGCAGGGCAUGUAAUCGAUGUGGGCUAAAAUUGAUAAUUUGAGAAUCGAAGCAAGUUUGGAUAACUAGUUAAAAUAGGGGAAAAAUGUCUUGCAUCCCUUAGAAUUAAACAAUUAUUUUAGACUUAAUAUAUAUACUAUUGAACCACCUGAAACAAGAACUUGCAUACUUUGUUGUUAUCAAUUUGGAUUCAAAAUAUGCUGAAUUCACCGUCCCUGAUAAUUUUAUUAUACAGUGACUAGCAGCGUGAAAUUAAAUCAUGCAUCAACAAGUGAAAAAUAAAGAAAGCAUAAGAUUGAAUAUUAAAGCAAGUUAUAAACACGAAGAAAGUAUAUAAUUAAUAAAACUAAGUAAACCAUCCUGGAAGGGGUGAUGAUUACUCUUAAAGCACUGCAUUCAAGGAGGGAAAACUAAGCCAUUACUAGUUCUACUGUUGCAUGCUUGAUGGUUCUGCAUUUUGUCGAUUGAUUCCAUUUCCUCCCUUGUGCUAUCCUCCGUGAGAUCUCUCUCUUUUUCUCUCUAUACAUAUUUUGGAAAAGCGAUUUGAGAAUGUGACUACUUUCUGAUUAAGAAGAAGAGAGGUUAUACUAUUGUAAGUUGGCGAGUUGUUAAGCUUUCAUUUGGAAAACAAAUAUACAAACUAUUUAGAAAUUAAGUCAAAGUUAAUUAUAGAUUUCAAUUUCCAAUGCACACACAUGACAAUUAAAGGAGUGUAUAUAUUGAUUUAUCAAUUUAUAGAGAACGUUCUAGAAUUUUGUAAAAGGAAAAAAUCACUGCCUCGCACAUGGAACACACCAUGCCUACACGUAACAUGCGAAUAGGCGCAUGUAUGAUACAUAAUAUUUUUGUUUAUAUAUUCUAACAUGGUCACAUAAUAUUGGCAAAUUAUUUAAUUUUCAAGGUAUUCGAAUAAAUAAUCCAUAAAGUACCAAAUGACCUUCCUCUUCUUACUAUUUCGCUAACUUCAUUCAAAAUCACGUGAAAGAUAAUCACGUGUCAUGAAUUAAAAAAGAGACAAAAGUAUAAGAAUUAAAAUUAAAGCAAGUUAUUUGGAACAAAAUAAAUAUAUUAUGGCUUGCGCACUUGAACGAAAAAUGAAGUCAUUUAAUUAUGUCAUAUUAUACAAAUUGAAAGACAUUUAGGUUUGUUUAUUAGUGUUUUUUUUUUUUUUUUGUACAAAGGAAGAAGGCAAAAAGACUCAAAAUACCAUGAUUAUGUGGUCAACAAUGUUGUCACUUCCAUUAAUGAACAACCAAGGUAAGGCAUAUAUUUAUUUAUUUAACUCGUUCGUUUGCAUUUUUCUGUUCCUUUUUUAAGUUACUUAAUGUUAUUAUGUGCAUAAUUAUUGAUGAAAGAAGAGGACAUCGAGCAUCACAAAUGUCGACAAGGCCCCCUAAGAAGAGUCCAUCUGAAGACGUAAAUGAAACAAGAUCAAACAGGGAGAAGCAUCAUGCUUUAACAAUGAGAGCAAUAAUCAUCCACGUUUAAUAAGGGAAAACGCAGUGAGUUGAAGCCCUACCCAAGGUAGCUUGUCAAAGAACUACCACACCAAGAGCUCUAAGAGUAUAAGGAGAAGGUAAAGUCCAAGUAGCGAUUACAUUUACAUUUUUCUCAUUACAUUGCACUUUGAUUAUGAAUUAAUGGACAGUUCUUUCUUUUGCAAGAUUUGGAUUUUCUUAUUAGUAUAAAAAAAUUGAAAAAAGAAACCACCAAAUCAGGAACAUCAGCAAAUUUAUGAGGAGCAUGGAAUUAUGUGAUGCUUUGAACAUGUUCGUAAUUCUUGGUAAUAAAGAUUUGGUCGAAAACCUUAAAAUAAUCGAGUGGUGGAAUUUUCAUGAAGAUGAAGUCACGAGUAGAGAUUCUUUGAUGCAGGCUAAAAUUGAUGAUUUGAGGAUCGAAAUACGUUUGAAAAACUAGUGAAAAUAGCAAAAUGACUUGCAUACUUAAGAGUUAAAACAUGAUUUUAGAGUUGAUAUACGUUGAAGAUGUACUACUGAACCACCUCAGAUGAGAACUUGUAUCCUUUGUUGUUUCCAAAUCGGAUUCGGCAUAAAGAGUCUAGCAGUGUGAAAGAAAAUUAUGUAUCAUGAAGUGAAAAAUUAAUAAAAAUUAUUAAGACCAUCCAAGGAGAGGUGAUCUACUCAAGCCAGUCAAAAUGUAAAGUGUUCCUUAAUGUUGGGAAAACACCUCCCGAAGAUUGCCCAAAGAUCAAUCAAAGUUGACAAUAUGAAAAUAUCCAAACCACUUCAAGAACAAGGAAAUGAGGAAGAAAUGAUUUCAAUGUAUAUUGGAAGAACAAUGUAUUGGAUUACUUGAACAAGCCUCAAGUUAAUCCCAAAGAAAGAAAAAAUGGCUUUGAAUUUAUACCCAAGAAGAACAAACUCUUACUUGUAAAAUUCUAUCCAAGCCCUCUCGGUUUAUCUCUCUCAAAAUCGUGCCUAGGUCUUGUGUUAUGUUGAAAGAGGCAAAAAAACCGUGUAUAUACCUAGGCGCUAACAUUCUGUUUGGCUUCUGCACUCGGGGCGCCUAGGCGCCAUGUUUCUGCCGGGGAGGCAGAAACUGGGCGCCUGGGCGCCCGGCAGAACCAGCCCCUUCUCUUCCUUCUCUUCUCAUUCCUUUCUCUUCCUUCUCUUCUCACACUUAAUAUGUGCGAAGAUAUAGAAAGUAGGAUUAAGGAGAUAUUGUAACACUCCGAAAUUUCAUAGCAUAGAAUUAUUUGGUGAUAAUAAUCUUGACCAAGAUGGCUUUAGAUAAUUUUGAAAUAGUUGAGGGAUUAAAAUGAAAUAGGUAUUAAUUAUUAUUAUUUUGGGGCAAAUAAUUUUUUAUUGAUAAAGUGAGAUUUUGUAUAUCGAUAUUGGGCAGGAUGUAAUUGACUAGAUAUUAUUUUUGGUAACACAAAAUCAGCGUCGUGUGCAUGAAAUAUUUAUUUAAUUAGUUAGGUGAUUAUGUUAUUUUUUAACCUAUGUUUAAAUUUAUAGAUAUUUCAAUUAUUUUAUUUUAAUCAUUAAGAGAAGUAUGUUUUUGGUAACACUCCAUGGGUUAUAAAAAAAUUUGGGUGUUACAUAUUGGAAUAUGUAUUUGGCUUUCAAAUAACACACUCUUGAGUUAAAACAAGGCUCUACUAAUGAAGGAUCAAUAUAUGGGUUGAACAAUGAACAAAUAAUAUAGUUGUUAAAUCAAGCAAUCAAUGAAUAAUGUUUGGAUCUUCAAAGAAUGAUCUCUAUAAUCAAAAUAUUGUUCAACCACACUUUUGGACAUCCCAUAAGGUAUAUAUUUAUAAUGGGUAAUGUUUGGGACGAAAAUGAACUCAAAAAUAUCUUGAAAAUCGAUUUUUAUUAUUCCUUAUAUAAACACAUUGUUUGAGCGCCAGUCUAGUAUCAGGCGAGUGGCAGCAAAGUCAAUAUUUUCAUCAUAACAUUCUAUUCUGAUGUCUUAUUAUGGUGAUUCAAAGUGCAUUUGAAUGUUAUCUAAGGUACUACAAUUUUCUAGUUUAACAUUUUACAAAUUCUAAUGUUUUCUUUUUGAAAAAUUCAUUGCAACUUGUGACUGAGAAUUUGGCGCAAAACUUAAGUAAUAAUUUGACACUCCUUUGAUUUCUAAUUGCAUUUUAUUGAUCAUAUGUGUUCUUGGAUAUCUUUGGCUCCUCCAAGGACUAUAGUACCAAACCUUUAUUAUUUUGACUUUAUUUACACUUCAUUACUCCUAUUUUAACUUUAGUUACAAUACAAUUAACUAGAAGUGGACAAAUGUCUAGAACAAACCAAGCUAAUCCAAAACCAAAUCAAACCAAGUGGUUCGGUUCGAUUCUAUCAAAAAAAUUAACGGUUUUGGUUCUUUGAUCCAAGAACCAUUUUGUUUUGGUUUUGGUUUGGGUUUGAUUCUAGUUCAAGAACCAGAACCUAAACCAAACUUAACAUUUAAUUAUAUAUAUGAAUUAUUGGAGACUCUAAUUUUAUAUUCAUUGAAAAAUAGCCCAUUAAUUGAAUUAGUCUAUUAAUCGAUUUUUGGUCAUUAUAGAUAGACAGCUUAUUAGUUGUUUACACCCUAAUAAUGUAUUCAUUUCAAUCAUUUCUCCUUCACUCCAUUUCAAUUUACAUGCCUCGGCAUGCUGGUAUCACAUUUCAUCAAGUAAGUGGAGUAUCUCUUCAAGAUCGGAAAAUAAACUUGGUUAAUUACUUAACAAGUUUUUAAACUAUUUUUUACCUAUACAAGUGAACUGUAAAAUUUUUGCAUAAUUCAUUCUUUAUUGUAGUUGUGUGCCUUCAAAUCUGCUGCAAUUAAUUUAGUGAAUCAUUGCUAUUACUUAUUAAACGUUUUUAGUAUGAGAAUGAAAACUGAUUUGUAUAUUCAAAUUAUGACUAUAUUUUGUUUGUUAGUUAUGACUUUUUUGAUCUCUAUGAUUGAAAUUUGAACUUGUUCAAUGUUUGAUAUUUAUUCUUUUUUUAUUUAAGUAUAUAUUACUAACUUAAAUGGUACAAAUAUGAAAAUUUAAGAAAUGAAGCUAAAACCAAACCAAAACAAACCAAAGCCGAACGGUUUGGUUCCAUAUCUUUCAAAAAACCAUUUGGUUCCAUUAUAUAUAUAAAAAAAAACAUUUAUUCAUGGUUCGGUUUGGUUCUAUUGGAACCAGAAUUAAAUGGAAUCUUGUCCACCCCUACAAUUAACUCCUAAUACAAUUCAACAUGAUUUUGACUAUCAAAUUGCCAAUUACAGAUUUAGAAUUUGCCAGCUAUAUAAUUUGGACCUAACACCUCUACUAUCCUCCAUCAGACUUCUCACUUUCUCUCUAUAUAUAGAAUUUUGGGAAACGAUUUUGAAAUUUUGAUCAGUUCCUGAUUAAAAGUAGUCAAGUUAUACUAUCGACAGUUGGCUAGUUGUUAAGCCUUCAUUUGGAAAACAAAUAUAUAAAUGGUUUAUAAUUUUAGUCUGAGUUAAAUAUAAUUUAUAAUUUCAUGUGCACAUAAAUAAUGAUUAAUGGAGCAUAUAUAUUGAUUUUUCAAUUUAUAGAGAAUGUUCUAGAAUUUUGAAAAAGAGACACCCACCUCGCACAUGAAACCACCAUUCCCGCACGUAGCAUUCAAUUAUGUGUAUGUAUGAUACAUAGUAUAUAUUUUCAUAUAUUCUGAAAAAUUCACACAAUAUAUUGGAAAAUUAUAAAAUUUUCGAGGAAAAUGAUUUUUUUUAAAAUUUGAAUAAAUAAGUACGUAAUUAAUAAACAAACCUCAUCUCCUUAAUUUUCUCUGAGUUGUUAAAAAUUACGUGGAAGCAGAUCACCUAUCAUGAAGUGAAAAUAAAGAAAGCAUAAGAUUAAAAAUUAAGGGAAGUUAUUUAGAACUAAGUAAAUUUGUACAUCAUUUACGGCAGCUAUAUGUUCCAUAUGGCUUGCCCACUCAAACCAAAAAUGAAGUAGAUAAAUUAACAAAUUGAAACAUACAUUAGUUUGUUUUAUUACUAUGUAUUUCCUAUGUAUAAAGGAAGAAAGCAACAAAGACUCGGAACAACAUGAUUAUGUGGUCAACAGCGUCGUUGUUCCUCACUAAUGGACAAGAAAUGUAAGGCCUAUUAUUUGAAAAGUAUAAGAUUGAAAAUUACAAGUUAUUGAGAGAAAAUUAAUCUGUAUCAUUUAUUGCUGCUAUAUGUUCUCAAACCUAUUAGUUCCACAUGGCUUGCAUACUGAAACGAAAAAUGAAGUAAACUAAAACAUAAUAUCCUACAAGUUGAAACCCAAUUUAAUGUGUUUAUUACUAUAUAUUAUCUGUGUACAAAGAAAGAAAGCAAAAAAGACUCGGAACAAACAUUAUUACGUGGUCAACAACGUUGUUGUUACUUUCACUACUUAACAACCAAGGUAAGGCAUACAUUUAUUUAUUUAACAGGUUCGCAUGGAUUUUUAUGUUUUUCCACUUAUAUAAUGUCAUUAUGUGAAUAACUAUUCAUGAAAAAAGAUGAUAUCAAGCGUCACAAUUGUCCACAAGCCCCACUGAGAAGCGUCCAUGAGAAGACGUAAAUCAAACAAGUUCAAAGAGGGAGAGAUAUUAUGCUUUAAUAAUGAGAGCAAAUAAUCAUAUCGAUGUAAUAAGAGACGAGUCGAAGCCCCACUAAAGGUAGAAAUUCUCAAAGAACUACCACACUAAGAGCUCCAAGAGAAUAAGGAGAUGGUGGAGUCCAAGAAGCAAUCAUGUUUACGUUUUUCUAAUUACCUCGCACUUCAAUUCUAGAUGGACUGUUUAUCAUUAUUAUUAUUAUUAUUAUUAUUAUUAUUAUUAUUAUUAUUAUUAUUAUUAUUAUAAAAGAAAUACUUUUUUUUGGAAAAUGAAACCACCGAAUUGGAGACAUUAGAAAAUUCAGGAGGAGAAUGGAAUUAUGUGAUGCUCUGAACAGGCUUGUAAGUCUUGGUAAUUGAGAUUUGGUUGAAAACCUUAAACUAAUCUUGGGGUAUAAAAUUUUGAUGACGAUGAAGUCAUGAGUAGUGAUUCUUUGACGCAAGCUAAAAUUGAUGAUUUCAAAAUCGAAAUACGUUCGAAAUCUAGUGAAAAUAGCGAAAUGACUUGCAUCAUUAAGGAUUAAAACAAGAUUCUAGAAUUGAUAUGUGUUGAAGAUGAACUAUUGAACCACCUCGAAUGAGAAAUUGCAUCCUUUGUGGUUUCGAAUUUGGAUUCAACAUAUUCUGAAUUCACCUCUGCUGAUUUUAUUAUACAGAGUCUUGCAAUGUAAAAGAAAAUCGUGCACCAUGAAGUGAAAAAUAAAGCUAGCAAAAUUUAUAAAAAUUAGGGGUGAAUAUUACUAAAGCCGGUCACAUGGUAAAAUGUUCCUUCACACAUAUAUGAGAGAAGUGGGCUUAAGCAAGCAGGUGGAGCUCUAGGGAUUGGAAUCUUAAAUCACUUCAUUCAACGAGAGAAAACCAAGCCAUUGCUAGUUCCAGUGUUGCAUGCUUGACGGUUCUACAUUACGUCGGUUGAUUCCAUUGCCUUCCCUCUGCUAUCGUCCUUCAAAUCCCUCACUUUUUAUAUAUAGAAUUUGGGGACAAAUACAAUACAUCGUGUAAGUUAUCCCCUAACAAAAUCAUUCGUCUGCUAAAGUUAAUUUUGCGUGUCGAUAAAAUGUAAAUUGUUCAUAAUAAAGUCUUAUGAAUAUUACAAAGGAGAAGACCCUAUUUAUAGGGCUACAAAUAACUGUAAAAGGAAAUAACGUAAAAGGAAAGAUUGUGUAAUAAUUACACAAUCAAUUAUUAAGGAAAAUAAUCCUACACUAUUGGAAAAUUAUCAUAGAUAAAUAUUGAUCCAAUAUAUUAUUGUACUCUACUAACCACGAAACGAUAUUGAUUUUUCCUACAAAUUAUAUCAUGGGCUAAAUCUUGCUUUUCCCUACCAAAAAAAAAAGUGCAGAAAGAAUAUUUGUAAGCUAAAAUAUAUACAUUUUCCCAACAAUUAUUUUGUUGGCUAAACCUUGUUUUUUCUCUAAAAAUAAUUUUUCGUAGGGAAAGCAUAUAUGUUGGCUACUAUAUUAAUUUUUAACCAUAUUCAAAAUAAUAUAGAGAUGUAGAAAAAAGAAUAAAUUAAUUAAGACGUGUAGUAUCAAUUAACGUAACAUUGAAUCCAAAAUAUUUCCAUUCACUAAGUAUGGUUACAUUCGGAGUUAAAAAUAAUAUAACAAAUAUCCUUUGCAUCUAUUAUGCACCUAAAAACAUAACUCUUUAUGUGACGAAUUAGAUAUGGAGUUGAUCCUCACCAAAGUAAUCAUGUUUGCCCUCAAUAGCAUUAUUUUUUCUCAUUAGCAUUAAUCUCUAUUAACAAUAGUAGAUUGAUGCCAAGACUACAAAGUACAAUUGAAUUGUUACUUAACGACUUUCGUCUUUUUUUGCAUCCUUUGCUCCAUCUUUGAUAGAGUUGCAUAUUUUACUUUUUGAGCAGCGCAUUUUGCUUCUAACUCCUUCUCCGUAUUGUGUACACUAGAAGAAGAUAUCUCAAUUUCUUGACAGCAACCAUCUCCCAACCCACGAAUUUGAUGUUUGGGCUUUGAACCUAGAAUGGACAUCAUGAUAUUAACUCUAGUCUUAGGAUCUUCUACAUAUAUCUCCUCUAAAGGGGUAUCUUCGAAAAAUUGCUGCUCCUUUACCUUUUCUACAAGAUAUUCAUAAUCUUUGAAAUGCAUCUCAUUCUACAAACAGAACCCACAGGAGAUAUAAAAUUGCCCAUAUUAUUAAAAUAUGGAAGAGAUAUACUACAACUAUACACAAGAAAUGUAGCACUUGAUAAAUAAAUAAAAACAGUUACAGGGCCUAUUUGUUAGUGAUUAUGAAUCAAUUUUUUGACCAUUAGAGGGAAAAAGUGAAUCCCACAUAUAAGUGAAGAGGUCAAAAAUGACGGUUGACUAUUGGAAGUAAUUGUCAAAAAAUUGAGUUUUGGGGGUAAAAAGUCAUAACCAAAGGAGGGCAUAAUGUUUAGUCUUUCUUACUUGUUGAGCCUCGGCUACAUUAUAAGUCCAACACUUGUUCUUCCUUGCAUAAAUGAACUUGAAAGGGGUCAAUUUUAGGAAAACAAUUAUGCUUCAUACACUAUAUUUGAAUUAUUAGAAAAAUUAUUUAAUUUAGAACAUGUUGAUGACAUAUAAGUUCACUACGUCUAUCAUCUCCUUCAUAAUGUAUGAGAAAGGACAUGAACCAGUACAAUGAUUGUACUUUUUCUUCGAUCAAUUCACUAUGUUCAGUGAUUAUGCUUUCUGCAAAGAAAAGAAUGUAGUUAUUAUAUAACAAUAUCGAGAAGAAAAGCUUUGAACUAGUAAAUAGUUAUAAAAUAAAUACAUUUAACUUAUCGGAAAUUGGAAUAAUUACACAAUUACACCCAUUGAUCUAUACCUCUAUCAAGCAUCACCAUAUUAGAGCAAUAUCGAGAAGAAAAGCUUUGAACUAGUAAAUAGUUAUAAAAUAAAUACCUUUAACUUAUCGGAAAUUGAAAUGAUUACAGAGUUACACCCAUUGAUCUAUACCUCUAUCAAGCAUUCCCAUAUUAGAGUUAUUGCACAAAAAAGCCACUGAUAUUAGCCAUAUAUAUAUAUUCUCAAAAUGAGAUAUUUGAUCAUGAAUGGAAAGUUAUUUCUUCUAGAAUUAAUAGAAGAAAUGAAUUUAAAACUAAUCAGUUUACUGAUGUCAGAAUUUUUAGAAAAAAAUUUCGAAAAACUUUUUUCAAAAGAAGAAAUAGAAUCUUUUUAGGAAGAUUUUUUUAAAUUUCCCAAAGAAUAAAAUUUUUUAAGUGGGCAUAUUUCUAAGUUUUUAAUAAAAUACUCACUUCAAAAAAAAAAGAAAAAGAAAAAACUAUUCAAAAUACAAAUACUCCAAAAAAAGAUUUGGAAAACUUCUUCUAAUAAAUCUAUUCAAUCAUCUCAUCCUCCUUUGCAAGAGAUAGUAGAUGGAAAUACUGAAAUUCUUUCUUCUCAUCUUAAAAAGAUAUCUGAAGACCUGAUGAAUCUCAAGUUGCUGCUAAAGAUAUAAAAAAUAUUCAAUCUCAAAAUAAUUAAACUAAUGUAGUUCUUUUGUUACACUUCACUCGUUUAUAGUCAAAGUCAAGAAAUGAUAUAAUCAAAGUUAGGUAAUUCAACUUGUCAAAGUCAAAGCCAAAUAAGGACUUAAGUUGUAGAAAAGAUUUCAUGGGGCCUAAUUUAUAAUUACUCAUACUUAAAAAGGGUCAGAAAUAAUACCAAAUAUGAAUUUAGAGAUUUAAUGUUUUAUUAUUAUACUUAAAGGACUAAAUGUUAUAUUAUAUGAAGAUUUGGGACUUGAGUUGCAAUUAUACAAUAUAAAAGGAUAAGUAAUCCCUUUCUGUCAUUUAGGGAGACAAUUUCAUAUACUAGAAGUCUACAGAAACGAAGCAGAAGAGAAGGAAGGAAGGAAGAAAAAAGAAAAACAAGAAGAGCAGGAAGAAAAAGAGGUUAUUGAGGAAGAUGAAAUAUGGACUCAAAUAUAAGGUUCUUCAUUUCUUCUAUUCCAAGAGGUAAGAAAACACAUUGUUGUUCAAUAUUGCUAAAUUUGACUUUGUAAUUAAUGGCUUGUCUUUAAAGAUUUGGAAGAGAGAUUAGGUAAUGGAGUUGAAUAUUUGUUUAAGUAAAAUUUUGAAAUGGGUUUAUGAGAUAAAGGCAUUCUUCCAUUUUCUUGUGAUUUUGUGGUGCUAAAACGAUUAAUGUAAGGAUUUGAAGUUGGAUUUAUCAAUUUUAGAGCAAUUUUAAGCUAUUUUCGAGCAAUUGUAGUACACAAGUGUUAAUUCCGAAAUUUUGCCCCCCGAAAAGUGCUAUUUCUAUUAAUGGUUUUGAUGCCAGAUUUCAAUAUAUUCUGGAACUUUAGUGCUAAUUUUGUCAAACCUUGGAUUUCCAGAUUUUUAAAUGUUUGAAUGAAUUUAUAUGACAUAUAUUGAAGUCUAUGUAUUGGACUAACUAUGUAUAAAGUUUGUAUAGUAUAUGUAUAAGGUAGUGAUUUUAUGAAAUUAUAGUGAUUUAAUGGAAUUGAUGAUGUUUCGUGAUUUGUUAGUAAAUAAUUGAAGAGAUGAAAAUUUAAAGAACGAUCGUGCUACCUGCACAGGCUCUUUUGCACAGAGCUUGUAUAGGUGCACACACAUGGGGUGUACCCCACACAUGGGGUCCACAUGUGGAGUCCAUCUCCAUGUGAGAGCCCCUGACAAAUCUUAAAUAUCACUUUGUUUAUCUUCAACGUGUAGGUUAACUUCUCCCUCUUACAGUGGUCUACCCCCAUUUAGUUUCUCCAUAUUUGUAUAAAUAUGAGAUCCAUAUUUGGUAGCUAAUACCUGAGAAGCUAAUGAAAUAGACAUAAACCUUGCAAUAUUUCUUCCAAUGAGCUUUCAUUCUAUAACAAAGACAAGGAUCAUUAGAUUUGAUAUUGUCCUUUGCUCAGACUGUUUUAACCAUAUUGAAUGCUUUCUCAAAGUCCCUUUAGAUUUCCUCUUAACACUCUUAGAGGAAUCAAUGGUUUGCCCACUACCAAUUUUGAUAAAGGGCUUAACAGUCCUAAGCAUGUUAAACAACUUAAUGAGUAUGCAUUCAAGCUUAUUCAUAUCAUAAUUCAUAAUUAUUAUGAAUAACUAUAUAACAGAGAUUGCAGAGCUAAGUCAAUACUUAGUUCAUAGUUAAUGAUUGAACUCAAUUGAGACACUUCUCAUGUCAAUCAUCUUCAAUACAUGAGGAUUGACUGAAGAUUCUUUUGUCACUUUGCAUCGGUAUAGUUGUUUGGAAGUCUCAUAUCCUUUCACACAUGAUUAUCAUAUAACUUUUUGUAAUGAAGAAUUAUGUGUUAAUAUCUAUACUCUCAAGUUGUUUUUGUAACUCAGGUGACAUAGUUGCAGAUAUUACAUACGUUGCAGUACUAUUAUCAUCACUGCAUUUAUUAUAGCAGCCACCUCUCCUUAAUCGAGUCAUCACCAGGUGUCUCUGAAAAAUGGCUACUUAAGGACAAUCAACUUUCUGAUGCUUGAGAACAAUUCUCAAAUUACAGUGUCAAUCAAGAAGAUUCAGCUUAGUUGUUGGCAUCCAGUAUGCCAUUUAAAACAUAUGGUUACUCAGGAUUCAAUAUAAAUGUAAAUGACGAAAAGGAAAAGAAUAAUAUAUAAAAUGCGACAUGUUAAAUUAAUUAUGCUCCCACUGUUUAAUUAAAAUUUAUGACCCUCUUACAUAAAUUUAUAGAGUCCAUACUUGACUCUCAGUGGGCUGGGAUCCCAUCUAUUAUAUUAAAAUCUUGAGUAUACUCAACAAGCCUUAAUAUAACUUUUGGGUAUAUACUAUUAUCAAUUGUAUCUCCAUACAACUCCCAGAUCAUUAAGCUGGCUACUCUUUGUUUUCACACAUCUUAUGUGUUAGCUUAAUAUGCCUCUAAAAUUUAUCUCUUUGAGUGUACUCAACAAAAGAUAAAUUUUAGUUAAGUCAAACCCGUCAUUCAGAAAUAUCAAAUAUUUCAUAGUGUCAAACAUAUCCCUAAUGGACCAGCCUUGAGUGUACUCAACAAGCUGAGACGAUUUGGAACUCUGGUUUUUCACUAUAAUGAUAGAAGGCGAUUAUAAAUGUGAUUUACUAUUUUAUGGAGGGAUUUUGCUUUCAAAGGUCUCAUCAUAACAAUAAUAUAUAUUUUAUUAUACAUCUACCAUGCAAAUAAAUAAAUAUAACAUAAUAUAAUAGUGUGGACGAUUAUGGACUUUUACUAUCUAGUCUUCCCGAAUCAUAAGGAAGACUAGUUGAUCAAUUCCUAGGGAGUAUAGCAUUGAACAGUAUCAAUGCACCAUCUCCAUGGUCUCCUCCUCCUCUUGUUUCUCAAUUAGUCCAGCUGCAACUUGUAUCAUAUACUAGUUGGCACGCAGGCCUAAAUGAAAUUGGACUCGUAGGUCCAUAGCAAUAAUAACAAUAACGGACUCGCAUGUCCAAAAUGAUUAAGAGUUCGCAGGCUCAUAACUCGACAAGAUUAAAAAAUCAACCAUUCAACACAUCCAUAUGGUCGAGUCCAUAAUUAUCCACUAAUAAAGCAUUUAUCACAUAAAUGAAUACUUAUAUAAUAUCUAAUAUUAUAUGCAAACACGUUUCAAGUUUCUAGCAAUUAAGGUCGUCUAAACUCUUUUAGACAAAUGGAUUGGAACAAUUAAAUAAUUAAUUAAUCAUAUUAAUCAAUCAAUUUAAUUAGUGAUCAUAUUUAAUUAAAAUCAAAUUUUAAUUAAAUAUUGAAUUAGAGUCCAACUCUAAUUCAACAAUUAUAGGACUGGCUAUUUAAUUAAAAUCACAUUUCAAUUAAAUAUCAAAUUAGAGUCCAACUCUAAUUUCAUAACUUAAGGCAGUUGAAUUUAAUUAAAAUCAAAUUUCAAUUAAAUAAUAAAAUUAGAGUCUAACUCUAAUUCCAAAAAGAAAUUUAGGGCGAGAAAAUUUAAUUAAAAUCAAAUUUUAAUUAAAUGUGAAAUUAGAAUCCAAUUCUAAUUACAAGAAUAUAUUCGGGUGAAUAAUUAAUUAAAAUCAAAUUUUAAUUAAGUGUUAAAUUAGAGUCAAAGUCUAAUUUCAAUUGAAUCAAUAUUUUAAUUUAGGAUAACACUCCUAAAUAAAAUAAAAUUCAAUUUAGGGUCAAAUUUAAUAUUUAAGUUAAAAUCACAUUUUAACGAAAAUAUAAAAAGCCGUAAAUUUUAAACUAAACUUUCAAUUUGGGUCAAAAUUAAAAUAAUAGGCCAAACCCAUUAAAAUACAAUUUUAAAACCAUUUUAAAAAUUCAAAUUCAAAACAAUUUUGAGAUUUGCAAAUUGACCCAAGUUUCAAAUUACAAACAAAACCCUUCAAUUUUCGAAAUUGCAAAUAUGCCCUUCUUCAGAAAAUUACAUUUAACCCCUUUUAUAAUAUUGCAAGCGGGAUCCUACAAUUUCAAAAUUUGCAAUGAGGCUCCCACCUCCAAAUCUUAGUCACCCGACUAAAAAACCCUAAGAAUUAAAUUUUUUUUGUUGGCGCCGGCAUCGCCGGUCGGCACCACAAUAAUGCCCCGUGGUAGGAGCCCAGGUGGCUCCUGCCGCUAUAGCAGCGUGAAAAUGCUGCUCACAUUGCAAGGCAGCGGUGCCUGCUGCCACUCCAGUUCGCCGCUGCCACGUCCCUAUCCAAUCCAAAAAAUAUAUUUUUAUUUUAUUUUAUUUUCAGUCGUGAAAUCAUAUUUUAUAAAAAAUUAAGAAAACAAAUUUUCUUUAAUUGCUAGAAACAUGAAAAAUAUGUACAAUCAACAUUUGAUUAUUCAAUCAUGCAAAUCAAUUCCUAACAAGCACAAAGUAGGUUCUGAUACCACUGUUGGAAAUCUACUUAACAUACACGGGGGAGAAUUAAAACAGAUUUCGAUUCCCACCAAGAAUUGCCUUUAUGUUUAGAUAGAAAUUGUGAUAAGAUUAUACCUUUUUCAGAUCUGCAAACUUCUUUGCUAUUCUUUUCGUUCCACCAAUCUUGAUUCGCCACCCAUAGCUGUCCAAUUAUCCAGCCUCCAACGAUGAUCCACACAGAGAACAAGAUUGCAGGUACCAGAGUUUUCUCCUCUUGUGCUAGCAAGAAUAAUUAUGAGAAAAACAUAUGAAUUGAAAACCCUAGCCAUGUAUUUAUAUAAGCCCAAACGGGUCUGGCCUAGUCCGGUCUAAUAUUUAAUUAAUCCAUUUAAUUAAAUCCGGUCCGUGAAUUAAUUAAUCCAAUUAAUUAAUUCGGGCCCAUAAAUAACCAAACCAAUUAAUUAAUUAAUUUAUCCAACGAUUGUUAAAUUAAUUAAUUGACAAUUGCAAUUUUUCAAUUCUCUUUUGUGUACUACCCAUCAGGUUCACGAUCAAGAUGUCUAACGACGUGAAAUAUUAUUUUGAUCUAAUCAAAAUUGAUAAAUUAAAACACCCUUUUAAUUUAUCAUCAAUUCACACUGGCCGUCCCAGAUUGACAUCUAACAAUGUGUCAGGGCAAUACAUGUGACGGGAAAUGUCAAGUGGUAUGACAAAACCAAACUCGUUUGUUUACCGUGAAACUAUAAUCCUUCGUCAAUAUGAUCCGAUCAAUUACGAGAUCUGGAAGUAUGUCAAUCUCGAUUAUCGAUCAUAUCUUUCACUCCAUUAUUAAGUCAAUAUAAGUCGAAAACUCUUUUUCGACUUAUGAGUACACCUUGGCCGAGAAUUUAAUUAUUGGCUUAAUUGAAUAAAGCGCAGAUCAUAAUCUCUUACUAUCUAAGAGUGACGAAUCCUCUAUUUGGUCAUUUACAACCUUCAUAUGAUUGUUGACAUACCCGAACGAUGUCGAAUUGGCAACCCUUGGCAGAGCAACAUCCAACACCAUCAAAGCAUGACUGUCCUCAUAUAAGGUACUAUGACGACCUCAAGUCAAAAUGACCAAUCCCACUAUCGAACGUUAGAGAUUAACCACUGACACUCAGAUAGUUAUCCAUGUGGAAUCUCUCGACGGGUCUUCAAUGUUUUGUUCUAUAACAAAACAUCCACCUGUUCAUUUAAGUGUCACCACACUUUAGCUUGUGAGAUCAGCUACUUACUUCAUUAGUAAGAAAUGCCACACGUGAUGGUCUAUCCAUAAUAAUGAUAUCCAUAUCUCCUUGUUAUUUACGACCACGGAUGAUUUAAGAUUCAAUCAAAUGUAAUAUGUAUUUCACAAUUACAACUCCUUGUGAUUAACAAAUUACGAAGAUUUGAAUCUACGGACUCUAUUAUUUAUUUAAUUGACUAUUAAUUAAAUAAUAGAUCUGCCAUUAAAUUGCAUUAAUUAUAUAUCAAAAGUAUUUAUGUCCAAAGUUGAUUGGACCUAGGGCAUAAUACUUAUAUCAAAGCCCCACUAAAGGUAGAAAUUCGCAAAGAACUUGUUGGGACCGAUGGAAACGAAAUGCAAAAUUGAGAUUUAAUGGACACCAAUUUGAAGUAUAAUACAAUAUCACAAAAUAUCACGAACAUGAUUAAAGUAAAAGAUGAAUUAAGCAGAGGAACGACGAAUUUUAUUAAUAUGGAGAGAAUUACAACUGGACAGCAAUGAUGCUUCAAUAGAACUGACAGAGGGGCCUUGUAUUUAUAGUACACUUGGUCUAGCCCUAAAAAAGUCCCAAAAAGGUAGAAAUAUAUAAUUCAAUUGGACUCCUAUUUGAGUCACACUUCUAACAGAACUACCACACUAAGAGCUCCAAGAGAAUAAGGAGAUGGUGGAGUCCAAGAAGCAAUCAUGUUUAUGAUUUUCUCAUUACCUCGCACUUCAAUUCUAGAUGGACUAUAUAUCAUUACUAUUAUUUUUAUUUUUAUUUUUAUUUUUAUUAGUAUAAAAGAAAUACAUUUUGGAAAAUGAAACCACCGAAUUGGAGACAUCAGAAAAUUCAGGAGGAGAAUGGAAUUAUGUGAUGCUCUGAACAGUCUAGUAAGUCUUGGUAAUGGAGAUUUGGUUGAAAACCUUAAACUAAUCUUGGGGUAAAAUUUUGAUGAAGAUGAAUUCAUGAGUAGUGAUUCUUUGAUGCAAGCUAAAAUUGAUGAUUUCAAAAUCGAAAUACAUUCGAAAAACUAGUGAAAAUAGCGAAAUGACUUGCAUCCUUAAGGAUUAAAAUAAGAUUCUAGAAUUGAUAUGUGUUGAAGAUGAAGUAUUGAACCACCUCGAAUGAGAAAUUGCAUCCUUUGUGGUAUCGAAUUUGGAUUCAACAUAUUCUGAAUUCACCACUGCUGAUUUUAUUAUAUAGAGUCUUGCAAUGUAAAAGAAAAUCGUGCAUCAUGAAGUGAAAAAUAAAACUAGCAAAAUUUAUAAAAAUUAGGGGUGAGUAUUACUAAAGCCACAUGGUAAAAUGUUCCUUCACACAUAUAUGAGAGAAGUGGGCCUAAGCAAGCAGGUGGAGCUCAAGGGAUUGGAAUCUUAAAUCACUUGAUUCAACGAGGGAGAACCAAGCCAUUGCUAGUUCCAGUGUUGCAUGCUUGAUCAUUCUACAUUUCGUCAAUUGAUUCCAUUGCCUUCCAUCUGCUAUCGUCCAUCAAAUCCCUCACUUUUUAUAUAUAGAAUUUGGGGACGAAUACAAUACAUCGUGUAAGUUAUCCCUAACAAAAUCAUUCAUCCACUAAAUUUAAUUUUGCCUGUCAAUAAAAUGUAAAUUGCAUAUAAUAAAGUCUUGUGAAUAUUACAAAGUAGAAGACCCUAUUUAUAGGGCUACAAAUAACUGUAAAAGGAAAUAACGUAAAAUGAAAGAUUGUGUAAUAAUUUCACAAUCAAUUAUUAAGGAAAAUAAUCCUUCACUAUUGAAAAAUUAUCAUAGAGAAAUACUGAUCCUAUAUAUUAUUGUACUCUACUAACGUCCCCCUCAAAUUGAUGCUAGUAAAAGCAUCAAUUUGCAAUCGCGAACUGGAUGCGCUUUCGAGUCAACAUUUUUGUAAAACCCAUAAACCAAGAACUCAACAUUGCUGAACUUCAAAUCCAAGAACUGAUUCAAAACUCGAUAUGAUUCUCGGCAAAGAAUCAAUGUCCGACCAGAAACUGAUGACACUAACAAAUCAUCACCAAAACACUGAAUGCUCGCACCACACUUGAUGCACCGAAGAGUCACACGUUAACAAAAAUUGUGUCAACCAUAGACAACUACAAGAAAUUCAAACCUAAAAGGCUAAGUUAUGCCCAAAGAGAAUUGAAGAUUCAACCACUCCAAAGAUAGUCCAGAGAACACACUCCCCAAGAAGAAUUUUCAAAAGAAAUUCACGAAGUAUGCCGACCCACACAGUGAACUUUAUCUAUUGGGAGAACUCAAUCGAACACAUAAUUCAUGUUCCGACAAAAGCUCUAAUGUCAAUACACUAGCCGAAAUUCAGUAAUAUUGCUGACCAAGAAGCUGUAGGUAGAAGAAAUCCCACCAAACAACUUACACUAAAAAAUGUCAAUUGAACUUGACAUACCAAUUCCAAAAUCCAGCUAUGCCAAAUUCCAAAUUCCAAAUACAUUGGACCAACACCAAACCAAAUUCGAGAUGAAACUGGACAUAUACAAAACCAAAUUCUCAAUCCCAUAAACUGGGCACAUACCAAAUCAAAUUUCCAAUCCCAUGAACUGGGCAAACACUAAACCAAAUUUUCAAUCCCAGGAACUGGGCAUACACCAAAUCAAAUUUCUAAUCCGUUUGUUAUCUUGUAAUCCACCCCAAAUUAUCAAGUUUUUGCCAUCAUCAUCAUAUCCCGAAUAAUUUGUCCAAUACACUAAUAACAGCCCAAAUCAAUCACCCCACAAAAGAAACCAAAAUGCUGUCCAAACAAAUUUUACCCAAAAUCAACCCAUACAUAAAAUCAUGCUUAGAAUUUGUUAUUUUUAAUUUUUUCAAAGGAACAAAACUGAUUAAUUCUUGCAAAAAUCCCACAACAAUGUUUAGCUCAUCUCUCUUUACAAAAGCAUCAAAUUUGAAGACUUGAACAGGCAACAAAAUCACAAGCUACUUAUCACUUCAAACUAUAUCUAGACAAUAGCAUUGGCAGCACUCGCAAUUCUAGAGAAGAAAAGAUCCAAAAAGAUAAGCAAGAAAAGUUCCCACAUAUCAUAGACCCAAUUAAUCACAAGCAUACAAUUCACAAAAUCCAUGAACCCAACAUCAUAGCCCAACUUAUUACCCCCAAGCCCAACCAUCCAUAUAACGCAGCCCAAAAUACCAAACCCAAAAUAAUAACCUAAAGCCUUAACCUAAUAGCCCAUAACCUAAUUAGCCCGACCCAUAAUAAAGCCCAACUAACAAUGACCCAUCUAAUCGGUCCAGAACACCAUAUGGACCAACAAAAACAAACAACCCAUAUCUUAGUCAAAACCCACUUUCUCGAAAAUUAAAUUACAUGGCCGAACUAAACUCCAACGCCAAUUAAAUUACCUAGCCUACAAAAAAAAAAAGUCAAAUUCGGCAGACCCAUCAACCUAGCUGCUCAACCCUCAACAUUCAUCUUCUAAAAACUGUUGGCUCUCAAAUCCUUGACUCUGGUUUGCGCCACCACAAAAAUGACGAUCCACUUGUUUUUGGAGCCGCACUUUUAAAAUCCCCAAACUUGUCCAUAAGACCACUCUCCUUGCUCCCUUUAUUCUCUGAUUCCAUACUACAAAUUGGCUUAGAGCGAAAAUAAACCAAAGAUUAUUUUCGAAAACAGUAAAAAUGGGGGCCAAAAUCUGGAAGGAAAAGGUCAUAAAAAAUGAAGCCACCGUCCACUUCUUCAGUUAUAAGCACCCACCGUCCAAACAAAGCACCCACUUUCUUUAUUUUAAGUCCAACCACCCAUAUUUUCUAGCUCAUUCAGUGCUUUCCUCUCCCCUCUAUGCGAACAUAUAAAAAAGUUUUGAUCACCGAAUGAGCGGCACAAGGCCGCUCAUCGGAGAACGAAACUUUGCAAGUUUAACCCAAGAUUAAACUUGCUCUGAUGCCAUGUCAAUAAAAUUGUAAAUUGUAUAUAAUAAAGUCUUGUGACUAUUACAAAGGAGAAGACUGUGUAACAAUUACACAAUCAAUUAUUAAGGAAAAUAAUCCUAUACUAUUGGGAAAUUAUAAUAGAAAAAUAUUGAUCCAAUAUAUUAUUGUACUCGACUAACCAUGAAACGAUAUUGAUUUUUCCUACAAAUUAUAUCAUAGGCUAAAUCUUGCUUUUCCCUACCAAAAAAAAAAAGGUGCAGAAAGAAUAUUUGUAGGCUAAAAUAUAUACAUUUUCCCAACAAUUAUUUUGUUGGCUAAACCAUGCUUUUUCUCUAAAAAUAAUUUUUCGUAAGGAAAGCAUAUAAGUAGGCUAUUAUUUUAAUCUUUAACCAUAUUCAAAAUAAUAUAGAGAUGUAGAAAAAAGAAUAAAUUAAUUAAGACAUUUAGUAUCAAUCAACGUAACAUUGAAUCCAAAAUAUUUCCAUUCACUAAGUAUGGUUACAUUUGGAGUUAAAAAUAAUAUAACAAAUAUCCUUUGCUUCUAUUAUGCACCUAAAAAACAUAACUCUUUAUGUGACGAAUUAGAUAUAGAGCUGAUCCUCACCAAAGUAAUCAUGUUUGCCCUCAAUAGCAUUUUUUUUCUCAUUAGCAUUAAUCUCUAUUAACAAUGGUGUAAAUGAUGGUACAACGAAGCAAGAAAAUUUACUACAUAGCUCGUGCUUAGAGUGAUGCCAAGACUACAAAGUACUAUUGAAUUGUUACUUAACGACUUUCGUCUUGUUUUGCAUCCUUUGCUCCAUCUUUGCUAGAGUUGCAUAUUUUACUUUUUGAGCAGUGCAUUUUGCUUCUAACUCCUUCUCCGUAUUGUGUACAUUAGAAGAAGAUAUCUCAAUUUCUUGACAGCAACCAUCUGCCAACCCACGAAUUUGAUGUUUGGGCUUUGAACCUAGAACGGACAUCAUGAUAUUGACUCUAGUCUUAGGAUCUUCUACAUAUAUCUCCUCUAAUGGGGUAUAUCUUCGAAAAAUUGCUACUCCUUUACCUUUUCUACAAGAUAUUCAUAAUCUUUGAAAAGCAUCUCAUUCUACAAACAAAACCUAUAGGAGAUAUAAAAUUGCCCAUAUUAUUAAAAUAUGCAAGAGAUAUACUACAACUACACACAAGAAAUGUAGCACUUGAUAAAUAAAAAAAAAAAGUUAUAAGGCCUAUAUGGUAGUGAUUAUGAAUCAAUUUUUUGACCAUUAGAGGGAAAAAGUGAAUCCCACCUAUAAGUGAAGAGGUCAAAAAUGACGGUUGACUAUUAGAAGUAACUGUCAAAAAAUUGAAUUUUUGGAGUAAAAAAUUAGAACCAAAGGAGGGCAUAAUGUUUAGUCUUUCUUAAUUGUUGAGCUUCUCGGCUACACUAUAAGUCCAACACUUAUUCUUCCUUGCAUAAACAAACUUGAAAGGGGUCGAUUUUAGGAAACCUCGAACUAUCGUAAUAGCAAACAAUUAUGCUUCAAACACUAUAUUUGAAUUAUUAGAAAAAUUAUUUAAUUAAGAACAUGUUGAUGACAUAUAAGUUCACUACAUCUAUCAUCUCCUUCACAAUGUAUGAGAAAGGACAUGAACCAGUACAAUGAUUCUACUUUUUCUUUGAUCAAUUCACUAUGUUCAGUGAUUAUGCUUUCUGCAAGGAAAAGAAUGUAGAUAUUAUAUAAAAAUAUCGAGAAGAAAAGCUUUGAACUAGUAAAUAGUUAUAAAAUAAAUACCUUUAACUUAUCGGAAAUUGAAAUGAUUACACAGUUACACCCAUUGAUCUAUACCUCUAUCAAGCAUCCCCAUAUUAGAGUUAUUGCACAAAAAAACCACUAAUAUUAGCCAUAAAUCAAUAACCACAUAACCAAACACUCAAAAAGUAAAAGAUUUUGAUUAAAAAAAUUGAAAAAGUGUGAAAUUUUGCAAAAGAGGGAUUAGGAAAAUCUCACCAGCUUCACCAGAGGGCAUGAGAUGUGAGCAGUUCUUCAUAUUCAAAAAAAUAUAGAAGCACUUGGAUUUAUCAUCUCAUCAGAUAAAUAGAAGAAGCGAAUUUAAAACUAAUCAGUCUACUGAUGUCAGAAUUUUUAGAAAAAAAUUUCGAAAAACUUUUUUCGAAAGAAGAAAGAGAAUCUUUUUAGGAAGAAUUUUAUAAAUUUCCCAAAGAAUUAAAUUUUUUUAGUGGGCAUAUUUCUAAGUUUUUAAUAAAAUACUCACUUCAAAAAAAGAAAAAACUAUUCAAAAUACAAAUACUACAAAAAAUAUUUGGAAAACUUCUUCUGAUGAAUCUAUUCAAUCAUCACAUCCUCCUUUGCAAGAGAUAGUAAUUCCAGAUGGAAAUACUGAAAUUCUUGCUUCUCCUCUUAAAAAGAUAUUUGAAGACUCACCUGAUGAAUGAUAGUUGUUGCUAAAGAUAUAAAAAAUAUUCAAUCUCAAAAUAACUAAACUAAUGUAGUUCUUCUAUUACACUUCACUCGUUUAUAGUCUACGUAAAAAAAAGAUAUAGUCAAAGUUAGGUAAGUCAACUGGUCAAAGUCAAAGCCAAAUAAGAACUUAAGUUGUAGAAAAGAUUUCAUGGCGCCUAAUUUAUAAUUACUCAUACUUAAAAAGGGUCAGAAAUAAUACCAAAUAUGAAUUUAGAGAUUUAAUGUUUUAUUAUUAUACUUAAAGGACUAAAUGUUAUAUUAUAUGAAGAUUUGGGACUUGAUUUGCAAUUAUACAAUAUAUGUCCACUUAAAGGAUAAGUAAUCCCUUUCUGUCAUUUAAGGAGACAAUUUCAUAUACUAGAAGUCUACAGAAACGAAGCAGAAGAGAAGGAAGGAAGGAAGAAAAAGAAAAAAAAGAAGAGGGGGGAAGAAAAAGAGGUUAUGGAGGAAGAUGAAAUAUGGACUCAAAUAUAAGGUUCUUCAUUUCUUCUAUUCCAAGAGGUAAGAAAACACAUUGUUGUUCAAUAUUGCUAAAUUUGACUUUGUAAUUAAUGGCUUGUCUUUAAAGAUUUGGAAGAGAGAUUAGGUAAUGGAGUUGAAUAUUUGUUUAAGUAAAAUUUUGAAAUGGGUUUAUGAGGUAAAGGCAUUCUUCGAUUUUCUUCUGAUUUUGUAGUGCUAAAACACUUAAUGUAAGGAUUUGAGGUUGGAUUUAUCAAUUUAGAGCAAUUUUAAGCUAUUUCCGAGCAAUUGUAGUACACAGGUGUUAAUUCUGAAAUUUUGCCCCCCGAAAAGUGCUAUUUCUGUCAAUGGUUUUGAUGCUAGAUUUCAAUUUACAAAAAUUGGUGCCAGAUUUCUAUAUUCUGGAACUUUAGUGUUGUUUUUGUCAAACCUUGGAUUUCCAGAUUUUUAAAGGUUUGAAUGAAUUUAUAUGACAAAUAUUGAAGUCUAUGUAUUGGACUAACUAUGUAUAAGGUUUGUAUAGUAUAUGUAUAAGGUAGUGAUUUUAUGAAAUUAUAGUGAUUUAAUGGAAUUGAUGAUGUUUCGUGAUUUGUUAGUAAAUUAUUGAAGAGAUGAAAAUUUAAAGAAUGGUCGUGCUACCUGCAUAGGAUCUUUGCAUAGAGCCUGUACAGGUGCACACACAUGGGGUGUACCCCCACACAUGGGGUCCAUCCCCAUGUGAAAGCCCCUGUACAGGGCCUGUGCAAGAGGCUUUUUCCUUUAAAGAAAUAGAAAGGCAAGAAUAAAUAUAGAAGUUAGGGGAAUUACGUGGUAGAUUUGUAUUAGUUUAAUUGUUAGAUUUUAAUUUGAGUUAUUAUAUCGUUAUUUCAGGUAGUGGCUUGAAAGUUUGGAAAUGCCAGUCAAUUUAAUAGAAUUGCUAUCCAUACGUACAUCUGUGAGUGAAAAAACUUAUAUAUUUUCAAAUAGUAAUAAGGUACUUACAGUAUUACAUUACGUGUGAUUAUACAAAUUAUUUGUUUGAUUACAUGAUUAACAUGGAAAGAUUCUUUUACUAUGAUAUAUGCAAAAUUUAAAGUUUGGAUAUGGAUUAUUUGUGAAUUGGAAUGUGAGACAUAUAUGAUAUUGAGAUCGACCAGAAAAGUACCCGUGAUUAUAUACUUCUUGUAAUUCACCGAAAGGCAUUAACCGUGUUCUACACUGCACUGAGAGGUCGACUGAGGAUGAAAAGGUCGUGACAGUGUACAUAUAGUUCAUUGAGGGGUCUUGACCAUGUUCUAGAAUUGAUUAUCAUAUGUCUUUGAGACCCACUUUCGUGCACGGAGGGGGCCAAAGGCCCGUGAUGUUAGAUUUAAUAAGAGGGUACAUUUUUUGUGGAUCACAUGUGAUGUGAUGAGAUGAUGGUAUAGAUAUCAGCUGAUGACUAUAUCGUGAAUAUGAGAUGAUAUUUACAGAAUUAUGAGAAUGUCUCUUUUUUGCUAUAAUUUUAUGAGGCUAUCGUGUGAAUUACUAAACGAUAUAUACUUGAUGUCUAUGUAUGAGAAAAAUGUUUAAAUGAGAAAGUAUAAUUAUUUUCGAAUUCUUCUACUCACUGAGUUAUAAACUCAUAUUUUUCUUAUAGGUACUAUUGGUCCCUGAUAGCUUGAGGAGCCUGGUGGUUUUAGAAUUAGAACCACACAAAAUAUUUAGUGAUACAAUUCAUUAUGGUAAAACAUGAAGCAAUAAUUUCGAUGAUUUUGGCGCAUAUUUUGUCGUAAAUCAUAAUCAGCCUUGUGGUUGAUCUACCAUCUAGUCAGCAUCUAUCAUCGGCACAAGUCACGUUCCUAGUCCAUUAGGGUGAUUCGGGACUAGACGGGUCGUAACAUCUUCAACCUAUGUGUUCUCAACUCAACAGCAUUGAAUUAAAAUUCUGAAACUGAGACACCAUCAAUUUCAAAAACUAUUAAGCCAAUGGAGUCAAUUUUAAUAAACAAGCAUGAGGCUACUCCAAAAAAUUCUAUUAAAACUCAGGUCAAUGUCCUAAAAGAACUAGCAACUUAGUUAUCAAAACUAUCAUCAUCUUUCACUUCAAAUAACAUCAAUACUAUUGAUGAUCAUAAAUCUCAAUUUAUUGAUGAUAAAAUUCAUUAUAUUUUUAAACUUUAAAACAAAAAAGUUCAAUUCUCAAAAGUUCCUCCUUAUUAUCUGAAAAAUACUCCUCCUGGUUUACUUUUUGAAGAAAAGUCCAAAAUCAACACAACAUUUUUUGGCAAUGGUAUAACUGUCUGGAAUAUUGAUGGUUUAACUGAAUAUCAAAAUUUUCAAACUCUUGAAAGAAUAGGUGCUUGCUUUAAUGCUUAUAUUCAAGAAGGUCGAAGCAACAAAUAAUAUUAUUCAAGGUUUUGCUGGACAAAUUAAUAAUCCGUGGUUCAAUUAUAUUACUCAACAAGAAAAUUUUCAAAUUGGUCAAGCUAUAAAACAUGAUGGCUGCAAUGAUAAUUUUAAUACUUUAAUUUUUAGUAUUAUUAAACAUUUUGUUGGUUCUCCAACAGAUGUUAUAGAAAAGAUUUCAAAUAUUUUAAUGACUUUAAAUUGUUCAAGUUUAUAGGAUUUUUGCUGGUAUGAUGAUAUGUUUCUAACACAAGUAUUUUUGCGAAAAGAUUGUAAUCAAACUUAUUGGAAAAAAAGAUUUUUAUCCAGACUUUUAAAAUUAUUUUCUGAAAGAGUUAAAAAUUCAAUAAAAAGGGAAUAUGAGAAUAAUAUUCUAUAUGAUAUUCUUACAUACGAAGAAUUAAUCAGUUUCAUUAACAGAGAAAGAUUAUCUCUCUAUAAUGAAAUUAAACUCAAAUCUAAAUUGCAAUCAGAAAGAUUAGACAGUCAAAGAGAACUAGGAUCUUUCUGUGAAUAAUAUGGACUUGAGAAAAUAAUUCCACCUUCAAAAUUAAAAAGAAAAAUAUUUUCAAAAAGAAAAUUUUAUUCAAAUGAAAAGAAUUUCCAAAAACCUUCUUAUUCAAAAAAUUAUUCUAAAAGGAAAUUUUAAAAAAGAAAAUUUUCAAAAAAAAAAAUAAUGUUGCUUGUUGGAAAUGUAGAAAGCGAAUAAUCUUCAAAUAGACGAAGAUAUUAAAUUUGAACUCCUCAAUCUUAUCGAUUCAGAUUAAAGUUCUAAUGAAGAAAACAUUUCUGACUUAGAACAUGUUUAUCAACAUCAAGAAGAUUAUGAUGUUGAAUCCAAUUCAAAUUCUUCCUUCUCUUCAAAGCAAAGUAGAGAACUUUAUGGUUGUAAUACUAUAAAUGUUCUUACUAAACAAGAAGAACUUAUUAAAGAGAUUGUUGAUCAAAUUGAAGAUCCAUUGCUCAAAAAUAAAAUUAAUUCUCUUUUACCUUCAAAUUCAAAAGUUGAACAUUUUAAUAUGCAAAAUGUUUUAAAUCAUUUUUAAAAUUCAAAAUCCUCUAGUUCUGAUCUAAAGUUAGAAAUCGAUUCAAUGGAAUCUCAAAUUUCUAUUCUUGAACGUCAAAUGAAAGAUGUUCGAAUAGAAGUUGCACUUCUCAAAACUCAAAAUUUGAAACAAAAAUAAAAAAAUUCUUCGUCCUCCUCUUCUAGGUCUUUUGAUGAAGAAUUUAUUCCUCCUAAUCUUCAAUCUGAAGAAGAAAUAGUUAAUGUUAUUAAUUGUAUUCAAUUUAAAAAAUGGUAUUGCAAUAUGACUAUUGUGGUCAAUAAAAAAUUCAAAUUUACUUCUAGAGUCUUUACUGAUUCUGGAGCUAAUAAAAAUUGUAUAAGGGAAGAACAUAUCCCUACAAAAUAUUUUGAAAAAAUUACUGAACAUUCUUACAGUGCCAUUGGUUCAGUAGUAAAAAGCAUAAAAUUUAAUAUAAGCUUUCAAAAGCUUAUGUUCGCAAUUCAAACAUUUGUUUCAAAAAUAUAUUUUAUCUCGUUAAAAAUAUAUAUCAAGAAGUAAUUCUUGGUACUCCUUUUUAUUGUUCAAAUAUAUCCUUUACAAGCUAAUUCAAAAGGCUUAACUACAAAUAUUUUUUGUCAAGAAAUUUGUUUUAAAUUUACUAAUCCUCCUUUUUAUAGAGAUCUAAACUCUUUAAAAGAAGCAUCUAUUUCAGAAAUUAUUAAUAAUACAAAUCUUAAAAAAAACCAUAUUAAAUUUCUUAAAGAGGAAAUUAAAUUUCAAAGAAUUAAAAAAUAAUUACAAAAUCCUUCAAUUGAAAGAAAAAUUUCAAAUUUUCAAGAACAUAUUGACAAAAAAAUUUGUUCAACUGUUCCAAUAGGAAGAAACACAUUUUUUCACUUCCUUAGAAUUCUGAUUUUCAUGAAUCAAAUAUUUAUACAAAAUCUCGUCCUCUUCAAAUGAAUAAAGAACUUUAAGACCAUUGCAUCAAGAAAAUUAAAGAUUUACUUGACAAAGGUCUUAUACGUCCAAGCAAAUCUCAUUGGAGUUGUUCUGCAUUUUAUGUCAAUAAUUCAUCUGAAAUUGAACGAGGUGUUCCCCAUUAAUUAUCACUUAUAAACCUCUCAAUAAAGCUCUUCAAUGGAUUUGAUAUACACUACCUUAAAACAAAGACCUAUUAAAUAGGUUAUUCAAAUAUGUUAUCUUCUCAAAAUUUAAUAUGAAGUCAGGUAUAUGACAAAUUCAAAUUAAAGAAGAAGAUAGAUACAAAACUAGUUUCAAUGUGCCUUUCGAACAAUACGAAUGAAAUGUUAUGCCAUUCGGUCUUAAAAAUGCUCCCUCUGGAUUUCAAAAAAUUAUGAAUGAUAUUUUUUAUCAUUUUUCAAAUUUUAUUAUUAUUUACAUUGAUGAUAUUCUUAUAUUUUCUGAAAGUAUAGAACAUCAUUUUAAGCAUUUAAAUAUAUUUAUUCAUGUUAUCAAGAAAAUGGCUUAGCAGUCUCUGCUAAGAAAAUUGGUUUAUGUCAAAUAAAAAUUAGGCUCCUAGGCCAUAACAAUCAUUUAGGAACUAUUACUCCAAUCCAAAGAAGUCUAGAAUUUGCCAAUAAAUUUCUAGAUGAAACAAGUUUGCAGCGCUUUUUAGGCUGUAUCAAUUAUGUUGCUGAUUUUAUAAAAAAUAUACGUUAAAUCUAUUCCCCACUUUUCAAAAGAUUACCAACAAACACCGACCCAUGGAGUCUCAAGCACAUAGUUGCAAUUCAAAAUGUCAAAAAAACAAUAAAGAAUAUUCCCCAUCUUUCAAUACUUAACCUGGCCUCUAUUAUUGUUGAGAUAGAUGCCUCUGACAUAGGGUAUGGUAGAGUACUCAAAUAGGUUCCAAACCAGUCAAGUCAAGAACAACUGGUUAGGUAUCAUAGUGGUGUGUGGAUCGGCCCUCAAAAGAGUUAUUCCACUAUCAAAAAAGAAAUAUUAUCAAUAGUACUUUGUAUUUCAAAAUUUCAAGAUGAUCUUAUUAAUAAAAAAAUUACUUUGAAAACUGAUUUUAAAACAUCUAAAGAUCUUUUACAAAAAGAUGUCAAAAAUCUUGUUUUAAAACAAUUUUUUGCAAGAUGGCGAGCUAUUUUAUCUUCUUUUGAUUUUGAAAUCCUUUUUUAUACAAGGAAAAUCAAAUGUUCUUGUAGACUUCCCCACAAGAAAAUUCAUACAGAAAAGAGAGAUUUGUGAGAAUUCAAAAUUGACAAAAAAAAGUUCAUGAGUUGGACAGAUGAAGUAGAGAGAAAUAUUCAAAAGAAAAAUCUUCAAUGACUUCAUCUGAAGCUCAAAAUCCUUUUCAAAAUUAAAGUAGUGAAGAGAAAAAUUCUACUCCAUUAUUUUCAAUUGAUGGCCUCUUUAAAGGAUUAUCAUCAAAAUUUGAAGAACAAGCUACUUUUUCUUCUCAAAAUACUCAAAACACAAACCUUUCAACUCUUGUUUUCAAAAAACCAGAUUAUUAUAAAAAAACCUGUUCAAGGUUCUAGAAAACUUACUCAAAUAAACCCUCUCCAACUUUUCAAUAUUUUCACAAAGGAGCCCAUGAACCCAUCUUCGAAAUGGAAAACAUCUUAGCUAAAUAGAUAUAUAUCCCUUGAUGAUUGUCUUUUAAGUAUUUUCCAAAAAAAAAAAAAAAUUGUUUCAUGUCUGCCAAUAUAAAAAAUUCCUGAGAAUAUUAUGAAGCUAACCUUAUGAAAACAGGAUCAGCUCUAAUUUCUCAUACUCCGAAUGAACGAAAUUCAAAUAAAUUUGAUUUUUCAAAAUUUAGUAUUUAAAGAGUGUUGUCAUGCGAAAACUGGGGACAACAACCAUGGGAUGAGAAAAGAAUAAGCCUUUCUAAAGGUGAAUAAUUUGAAUCUCAUUUCAAUUACUUUGAUUGAAGGAUGCUUGGUAUAAUGUCUUUUACUUUGGACCAAUGACUCAUUCUUGGUUUAUUCUUUUCAAUCAAAAUUUUCUAAAAUGGUUUGAAAAUUGGUUCAAAUGUUUUGGAAUUGAAGAGAAGAUCUUACCCAGUCUCACUCUUCAAGGAUCCAAACACUUCAAAAGCGAAGCAAAAUCCAUUUUGAAGCCUCAAGAAAAUCUUUUGAUUCAAUUUGCAGUCAAUUUGAGAGUAUCGUGGAUACUCUGCUUGGACAAUUUUAUCCUUCAAGAUUCGAACUCUGAAUAAUAUACUCAAAAAAUUAUUCGGAGAUUCAAAGUCAAAUGGUGGUCAAAAUUUGGAGAAACAAAUUGUUGUUUAAAAGCAAUUCAAUCAUGGAUUCAAGAACAAAGAAAUAUUAGUGUUCCAAAAAUUUUAAGGAAAAGUUCGAAGAAAAAUGCAGAUUUUCUCACAGAAAAAUCAAGACUUUUGGCCAUGUUCAAUCAAUGCAAAGCGCCAUUUCAAAAAAAAAUAAAUAAAUUGGUUCUUUGGCUAAAACUACAUCAAAGAAAUUAAAGUCAGUUCAAGAAAAUCUUCUCAAUCAGGAUCAAUAUCAAACCAUGCAUAUGGCAACGAAAACAUAUAUGAUGGACCAGAUAUUGAUGACUUAGUUAAUCAAAAGACACAAAAGAAUUCAAAAUGACUAUAUGACCCAGUUAUUUAGAUGAAAUGCAAAAUUAUGGAACCCUAAAGUCAAAAGAGAUAUUAUUUAAAUUUUGUCUACUACCAAACAAAUUAUUUUUACUAGCUUUAUCCACUUUCAAAUGGAUGUAACUUUAUUAAAACCACUUUAAUAAAGCUUUAUUCAAAGUUGGUGAAAUUGUCAAAAGAAAACUCAAUUAAGGGAGACAAAGACAAAAAUUGGUGAAAACUUUUCAAACAGAUGUUGCAAAAUUCAAAAGGUGCAAUAAUUCAAGUUUCUUUUUCAAAUUGAAGAAAUUUUCAAGUUCGGAUUGAAGUGAAAAUAAAAAAAAUAUUGAAUUGAAGAAAUAAUUAUAUUGAAGUAUGAAAAUUGAUAUCACAAGAUAAAAUUUUGAAAUAAAAACAUUGAAUUACAAGAUUGAAAAUUAAGAAAAUUUAAAAAUACAAGAUUUUCUCAAACUAUCUUGAGGCUAAUUUAUCUCCUGCUAAAUCCACUCAGAAGAGAUCUUGAAAUAUUGAUCUGCUUAAAUACUUGAAUUCUUGAGCUCUGGGCUUGAAAAUCUCUUCAAUUUGAAAAAUAAUCUUGAAUUAUCGCACCUUUAAAUUUUGCAAUGUCUUUUUGAAAAGUUUCCAUCAACUAUUGUCUUUGUCUCUCAUAAUUGAGUCUUCUUUUGACAAUUUCACCAACUUUGAAGAAAACUUUAUUAAAGUGCCUUUAAUAAAGUUAUAUCUUCUUGAAAGUGGUAAAGCUGGUAAAAAUAAUUUGUUUGGUGGUAGACAAAUCUUAAAUAAUAUCACUUUUGACUUUAGGACCCAGUAAUUUUACAAUUCAUCUAAAUAAAUUGGUACAUAUAGUCAUUUUGAAUUCUUUUGUGUCUCUUGAUUAAUUAAGUCAUCAAUAUCAUUGUUAUAUGUAUGGUCUGAUAUUGAUCCUAAUUGAUGAGAUUCUUUUUUAACAGACUUCGAUUUCUUUGAUAUAGUUUUAGCCAAAGGAGCAAUUUUUUUCUGAAAUUAUUGCUAAUUCCUCUGGCGCUUUGCAUUGAUUGAACAUGGCCAUAAGUCUUGAUUUUUCUAUGAGAAAAUCUACAUUUUUCUCUAGACUUUUCUUUGGAAUUUUUGGAACACCAAUAUUCCUUUGUUCUUGAAUCCAUGAUUGAACUACUUUUGGACAACAAAUUGUUUCUCUAAAUUUUGACCACAAUUUUACUUUGAAUCUCUGAAUAAGUUUUUAAGUAAAAUAGUCAGAGCUUGAAUCUUGAAGGAUAAAACAUAUCCCAAAAGAAUAUCCAUGAUACUCUUAAAUUGAAUGCAAAUUGAAACAAUUUAAAUUUGAGUUUAAUUUCAUUACAGAGAGCUAAUCCUUCUCUGUUAAUGAAACUGAUUAAUUUUCCGUAGGUAAGAAUAUCAUAUGGAAUAUUAUUCUCAUAUUCCCUUUUUAUUGACUUUUUAACUCUUUCAGAAAAUAAUUUUGGAAGUUCGGAAAAAAACCUUUCUUUCCAAUAAGCUUGAUUACAAUUUUUUUGCAAAAAUACUCGUGUUAAAAACAUAUCUUUGUACCAGCGAAAAUCCUAUAAAUUUGAACAAUUUAAAGUCAUUAAAAUAUUUGAAAUCUUUUCUAAAACAUCUGUUCGAGAACCAACAAAAUGUUUAAUAAAACUAAAAAUUAAAGUAAUAAAACUAUCAUUGGAACCAUCAGGUCUUAUAGCUUGACCAAUUUGAUUUUUUUCUUGUUCAGUAAUAUAAUUGAUCCACCAAUUAUUAAUUUGUCCAACAAAACCUUGAAUAAUAAUAUUUUUUGUUGCUUCAAUAGCAAAAUGACUUCCUUGAAUAUAGGCAUUAAAGAAGCACCCAUUCUUUCAAGAGUUUGAAAAUUUUGAUAUUCGGUUAAACCGUCAAUAAUCCAGACAGUUAUACCACUUUUCUUGAAAAAGUAAAUCAGGAGAAGUAUUUUUUUGAUAUUAAAGAGGAACUUUUGAAAAUUGAACUUUUAUGUUUUGAAGUUUAAAAAUAUAAGGAAUUUUAUCAUCAAUAAAUUGAUAUUCAAGAUCAUCAAUAGUGUUGAUGUCAUUUGAAGCAGAAGAUGAUGAUAGUUUUAAUAACUAAGUUGCUAGUUCUUUUAGAACAUUGACCUCAGUUUCAAGAGGAUUUUUUGGAGUAGCCUCAUGCCUGUUUGUUAAAACUGACUCUAUUGGCUUAAUAGUUUUUGAAAUAGAUGGUGUCUCAGUUUUAAAAUUUAAUUCAAUUCUUUGAGUUGAGAACACAUAGAUUGAAGAACUACAUUAAUAUAGUUACUUUGAAAUUGAAUAUUUUUUAUAUCUUUAACUACAACUUGAGAUUCAUCAAGUUGUUCUUUAGAUAUCAUUUUGAGAGGAGAAGCAAGAAUUUUAGUAUUUCUAUGUGGAAUUACUAUCUCUUGCAAAGGAGGAUGAGAUGAUUAAAUAGAUUUACCAGAAGAAGUUUUCCAAAUCUUUUUUGGUGUAUCUGUAUUUUGAAUAAUUUUUUCUUUCUUUAAAGUGGAUAUUUUAUUGAAAACUUUGAAAUAUGUCCACUCAAAGAAUCUAAAAUCUUCGGGUAAUUCAAAAGAUUCUUCCCAAAAAGAUUCUCUUUCUUUUUUUGAAGAAGUUUUUCGAAAAAAAUUUCUAAAAAUUUUGACAUCAGUAGAUUGAUUAGUUUUAAAUUCAUUUCUUCUAUUAAUUCUAGAAGAAUAACAUUGCAUUCGUGAUCAAUUCUCUCAUUUUGAGAAUCAAUCUCUUGUUUUGAGAAGGGGGAACCAUAUCAGAUAAAGUUGGAGAAUCAGGUUGUUUUGACUCUUCUUCUUUAUCUUUAUAAUGAGGUUUUGGAUUGUUGGUAUUAAAAUCAACACCUACAAGAGAAGAUGUUGAAAAUCUAGCAGAUUAAAAAGAAAUUCUAAGUCUAUCAUCAGAUCUAGAAGAAUAAGAUCUUUGAAACCGAGAAGAAGAUCCUUUAAAAAUCAUUUUGAUAUUUCCAUCAGAUAAAAUAAGAAUUUGAUUUGGAAUUGUUUGAACAACAACAAGAAUAGAAUUUUGAACAUUUUCGAAAUUCCAUUCAGGCCCUCUAGAUUGAAGAUUCCAAGGAACUCUCUUAGAAAUCAUGGAGUUUGAAUGAAAAUGAUUAAAUUCAACCAAAAGACUUUCAACUUUUGGAGAUGAGAAUAGAGCGCCAAUAUUGAGCUGAGUAUUCAUGAGCUUGUAAUAUAUUUUAUAUAUUACAGCAAAAGCAUUUGAACAAUCAUCAAAAUCAAGAGUUUUGUUUAAAUAUGAAGAUUUAGAGCAUUAAGAAUAGCUCCAUCAUUGAGAUUGAUAGAAAAAUUUGGAUAACAAUUUGAAUAAACGGGACUACUUUCCAGAUUUGAUUGUAGAAUAGAUAAUAAUGAAUUUUCAAAUUUGAGAAGUAUCUUAUCUCUAGGAGUUAAGAGAAUAGGUAUGUCUAAACUAAGUUGAAACAAUGGUUUAAUAGCAAUUUGUACUAAUCCAUCAUGAAGAUAUUUAAAUGUCUUUCUGUAGGAUUCAAUAAAUUCUUUUGAAAAUAAAUUGAUAAAUGCAUUUUGACUCCUAAAAAGUAAAGUUUGUUCAAAAGUUUUGAUGAUAUAAUUUUGAGUAUAAUCAAACUUUCUUAUUUCAUAGAUAGAGUUUUUUUUUCUCUAUUUUUGGAAUAGUUUAGUUAUGCAAUCUUUGUUCAAUUUUAGCAAUUUGUUCAUGACUAUUAAAAUCAUUUGGUAUUAGAGUUGUAAGAGAGUGAGGCAAGGUUAUGGUAAUUUAUCAUUUUAGGCACUGUUCAAUAGGAGAAAUCUAGUUCAAACCUAGUGUUUGCUGAAUAGAGUUGGUCAGCCCGUGUUUUGCCAGUGUAGGCAUUUUUGGGUGGUCCCGUUGUAGGCUUGAUAAGAGUCAGUUUUUUUUAUUGUAUUGUUUUUAUAGGGUUAAAUUAUUAUAUUUUCAUUUUAUUUAAUUAUGUCUUUGAUUUCAAAUUGGUUAAGGAGAUCUAGAAAUAGAUCUGAAAAUAUUUCAAAUGUUUUUCAAAGUGAAUAAGAAUUAAAUCAAGAGAUUGUGUGUGUGUGUGUGUGUGUAUGUUCAUGCAUGCAUGUAUCAAUAUGGCCUCGAAGAGAAUCAAGGCAAGUUCUAGAGAAGCAAAUCCAUGGAAGAAAAUCACUCAUUAAAGAAAAUAGUAAGAUUGAUAUGUAUGUCUCAGUCAUAAGGUUCAAAAUCUCACCAACUUUUAGUCUACAAAAUCUUGUUACUACCAUCCACAAAGAAAAUAACCACGCUAAUUAACUCUAAGUUGGGAGAUUACUUAUUCAAUCAUGUUAUAAAUUCUUCAGAAGCUUGAUUGAAUCUAGCAAAUAGCAUACACAACUAAAAUCGAUUAAAACCACUUUGUUUUCUCCCUCUUAUGUCGAAGUUUUAUCAAAAAGUCAAAAAUAAACACAAAAUAUGAACUGAAAAUUUUAGACUCAACCUAAAUUCCCUCUUCCACAUUUAAAACUUACAUUGCUCCCAAUGUAAGGUAAAAUACAAAGAAAAGGAUAACAUUAACCAAAUAUAUGAAUGUAAAAAGAUAAAAAUAAAAAGCUAACGGAAUGAACUCCCCUUGGGUUGCCUCCCAAGCAGCGCCUUUGUUUAUUGUUUUUGGCUAGACUUAUUGCUUCCUUCUUCAACCGGCAUCAAUUGGAUUUCCAAGGCCCCAUGUUCUCACCUCUUCUAUUUGGAAACCUGCAUAGAAAUAUCUCUUGUUAGAAACUGACAAAACACUAUGCAAACUUUUACCUGACUUUGGAGAAGCAUUAAACGCUGCAAUGGUCUCUGUAAGGCAGUAUUCGGGGGUAACUCCUGAUAUACCUCCUCAAUAUGCUUAUCAGUGGCAACUUUCACUGCAUUUUUUCAUCAGGUUCUAAAAUUUUCUGUUCUAAAUGAUCAAUCACUUUAAUAGAGUAAACAUCAUUAGGGCAUUUUAUGGAAAUAUUGAAUUUAACAAUUCUAUCAUCAAAUUCCAUCAUAAUUGUGCAAUCAUGAAUAUCUAUCUUAGUUUUGGAUGUCCUUAAAAAUGAUCUUCCUAGAAAAAUGGGGUAGUUUGAUCAUUAUUACCAUAUCAAGCACAUAAAAAUCAGCGGGAAAAUCAAAUCAUGAAUGUCUAGGAGUGUAUGGUUGCCUGUAUUGCUGGAAGUUUGGGCAAUUUUUAGGCAUUAGUUGAUUCACUUGUUAAUUCCCAUAGCUAAGGUUGUAAUGAUCCCUCCAUCCUGGGUUAUAAGUGCUUGAGUAAGGAUCAUAAUUCCUUUGUGAUUGUCCAGGAAAGCCAUACAUUUCAUUAACUUGUUCACUGGGGUCUUUUUAAAGAGUUGGGCACAUGUCAGUUGGAUGCCUUGUUACCGAACAGAUUCCACAAGCCUUUGUUAUUUACAUAGUUUCUGCAGCCAUUUGAUGAACAAAAGAAGUUAGACUCGCUAGUUAUUGUUCAAUAGAUGAAACAUUUACCUUAUUAACAGGUCUAUAAAGGGUAUCGAGUCUAGUAACAAAUUGCUGAGAGUUGGCUGCCAUGUUUGCAAUCAAGUUACUCGUGCCCUCGGGAGUUUUGUCCACCGAAGCUCCUUCACUUGCAACAUCAAUCAUACUCCUAUAUGUGGGUAGAAGACCUUCAUAAAAAUAUUGAAUGAGAAGCUGCUCACUAAUUUGAUGGUGGGGACAGCUUGCACAUAGUCACUUGAAACGCUCUCAGUAUUCAUGUAAGGAUUCCCUGCUACCCUGCAUAACACCACAAAUUGCCUUUCGGAUGUUUGCUACACUUGAAGCUGGAAAAUAUUUCUCUAAAAACAACCUCUUCAUCUCCUCUCAUGUUGUGACAUUUCCAGAUGGUAGAUAGUAGAGCCAGUCCUUAGCUGCGUCCUUCAAUGAGAAUGGGAAAGCUCUCAAUUUGAUUUGCUCUUCAGUUACCCCUGUGGGUUGCAUACUCGUGCAUACCACAUGAAAUUCCUUUAAAUGCUUAUGAGGAUCUUCACCUGUAAGACCACGAAAGGUGGGAAAAAGAUGUAUUAGUCCAGACUUCAAUUCAAAAGCAGUGGUAACAUCUAAAGUAGGAAAAGUGAUGCAGAGAGGUUGUUCAUUCAAAUUUGGAGCUGCAAGCUCCUUCAAAUUUUGAUGUCCAGCCAUGUGUCCCUCGAAAUUUCGUUGAAUGCCACUCUUUAACCUGUGCGAAGCUUUUUUUCUAAUUCUGGAUCGCACUGCAAAUCAGUUUGGUUAGAGGAUCGAGUUAUGGGCAUAAAAAAUUAAGGAAGUUAUUUAUUAAAAAAAAGUAAACUAAAAUAAACAAAUUAAACAAAAAAGAAAAGAUUAAAAAAAACUAAGUGAACAAAUAAAAAGCACAAAAAUAAACUAAAUUACUCCUCGACAACGACGCCAAAAUUUGGUGUAUUGUCCCAGGCACCCAAAAAUAAUCAAACCUACACUUCCAAAAAUUGUAUGUAGUAGUGGAAGUAAGGAUCGUUCCCACGAAGAAUGAUUAGUCUAAUUUUAUGCAAUGUUAACAAUAACGAAUGGUUUUGUUUGUGAUGAAAUCAAUUUUAACUAGAAGCAAUGCAAUUUAAUAAAUUAGAUAAAAUCAAUAGAAUGAACCUUGAUUUAAGUUAAUAUCCACUGUAGGAAUUUCAAAUUGAUCAUGGAUAUAUGAAUGAUUAUCAAUUCAUAUUUUUGCAUUAAUCGCUGGAAUUUAUUUUUCCUAUUUCUUUUUAGUUGUAAUUAAUCUGAAAACAAGCAAUCCAAUCAAUCCUUAUUAUCAAAUGACCUAAGAAAAGCACUUAAGAUUUAGUUUAAUAACAGCAUGGGAAACUAGAGAAAUCGAUGAAACUAAACAACUCAAUCACAAGCGGUCAUGUUUAAUCUAGUCAAAUAUCCUCUCUAGAAUUUAAUAACCUCUAAACGAACGAUUAAUAAAGCUCUAGUUACUUCAUAAUGUCAAAGAUAUCAAACAAUUACAUAUUUGUUCUUUAAACAAGCAAUAGAUUGUGGUACAUGAACAUCUAAUAGGCCUCUUAGAAUUAAAAUAUAACAACCAUGAAAUCAUGCAUAGAAAAAUAUUCAAUACAUAAGAUAUGAAUGAAAGCAAUGAAAUUUAUUUAGAUCUCACAGUUUGAAUCAUUCCUAGGCUUCAAUAUCCUUUGACUAAGAGAUGGAGUUUAGCAAUACAUUAAUAAUCCUUAAGUAAAAAGAGAGAGAAGUCUAUGAUGUUCGUUCUUCGCCUCCAAAAAUAUGUAGGAUAUAAGAUUUUUAGGCCAAAAAAAGAGGUUCUCUUCAUUCUGGCAUCUUUAGGUAUAUAUAUGAUAUUAAAAAUAUUUUUUCCAUGUAGAAUUUCAUCAGAAUAAGGAAAUUGGCCCGUCACAAAAAUUUUGACCCGUGCUCGCGCGCCAUAUAUUUCAUUAUGUGUGCGCCACUUUGUUGUUUUGCUCUCAGUACGCAAGAUUGAGGUCCCCCGUGCGCACAGUAUAAAAUAAUUUCAUUUGUUGCACUUUGAUUCCUCAAUUUCAAUCUUCAUUUGUUUUAACUCUUUUUUGAUGUCUUCUUACUCCUUUAGCUUUCAGUUCCAUCUAAUUGAAUUCACACCUUCUCCAAUCAUCGAUAUUAGGUCCAAAUCAACUAUUAGCACUUUGAAUUUUAAUCCCCAAGCUUUGGAUUAAUUUCUUUUUAGCACCUUUUUCAUUUCUUUCUUCCAAAUCCAUCAAUUUGCAUUGAUGCCAACCUCUUUGACUUCUUUAUUCAUCAAAUUGACUUCCAACACUUUUGAAUCUUCAUUUUAUUGCCCGUCUCAUGUAUGGAUUAUUUUCAACUUGGUCAUCAAGCUUUUACUUUCUUCCAUUUUGAUCCUUUUUUGCUAUUUUCUUCCAAACUCCAUAUUUUCCAUCCAUUUACAACCUGAACCAAAAUAUAAGGGUACUGAGUACAUUUAGGCGUUAAUUAAUCACAAAAACGCGAGUAUUAAUGGAUGUAAAAAACGACAUUUUAUGUCUUAUCAAAUUCCCUUAGACUAGGCUUUUGUCCGUGUUUGAGUAAAAUUCAAAUUUACUUUCACAAAAUAUUAAGAUUGCCAUUCCAUCAAUAUAGAACAACCAGACUCAUGAAAACACAUAACAAUUCAUGAACAGACAAUCUCACACAGCUUGUAAUCAAUUAGCAAGUAUUCUCAUAUAAAGUUAGAGUAAACCAAACAUGUAGACUCUCACAGGAUAUAAGCACUCAACUCUCAUGUGUUUAAAGGCUAAGUGUUUCGCUCAAGUUCAUUCCAACGAACAAGAUCUACCAUAUGCUUGCAUGUCUUCUCAUUCUCCACCAAUUAGAUCACAUGCAUUACACAAAUCAUAAGGUUUUUUCACAGGUUGUAACGUGGGUUAGGGUUCAAGUGUGAGAUAUUUGGGUAAGGAACCGUCUUAUGUCUAGUUAUGCCAUUUUCUUUACACAUACUAUCAAAUUCAGUGUUGCAAAAUUCUAGGCCGUUAUCUGUCCUUAAAAAUUUAAUCUUUUUGCUGGUUUGGUUUUCAAUUUGUCUCUUCUAGUUAUUGAAGUUUUGGAAAGUCUUAGAUUUAUCUUUUAAUAAAUAGACCCAAACUUUCCUAGUAUAGUCAUCGAAAUAGAUAGGAAAUAUCUAUUCCCACCCGAUGUGAGAUUACUAGCAAGAUCCCACAGAUCAGAAUGCACAUAUUCAAGCAUGCCUUUAGCCUUAUGAACACUCGAGGAGAACGAUAUUUUAUGAUACUUACCAAGCACACGGUGAUCACAGAAUGACAAAUCUGACACACAGUCAUGACCAACUGCACCUUUUUCAUUAAGUAGCUUAAGUCCCUUAAUACCUACGUGCACAAGUCUAUUAUGCCAUGUGUGUGCGAUCAAUCUUGACAGAAGAGAUAAAGGAGUUCAAACCUCUAAUCACUUUCUCAGUAGUGAUAUAUAAAUGUCAUUUUUCUUAGUCCCUUUAAUAGAAACUAACGCGCCCUUAAUCAUCUUUAGCAUUCCAUUUCAAAUUUUACCAAUGAAGUAAUCUUUUUCAAGUCUCCCUAUUAAAAUCAAAUUCCUAGACAAUUCAGGAAUAUAUCUAGCAUCCUUUAACAUGUACACAAAACCCGUGUCAAAUUUUAUGUUCAUGUCACCAAUUCCAACAAUAGUAUAUGCAAAGUUAUCACACAGCAUAAUAUGCCCAGCAUUAGAUUCAUACAAGUUAUCAAACUAAUUCUUUUCAAAUGUUACAUGAAAAGAAGCACCAGAAUCAAAUUCCACUCAUGCAUGCGAGAAUUAGCAGUAAGAUUUAAUUCAGUAGUGUAUGUAACGGGACUUGUAAUCAUAUAGACCUCACCGUUAUCUAUAUCAGAAGUAGAGGAUAGUACAUUUACCUCAUCUCUCUCCUUACCUUUAACUUACCCUUCUCUUUAUGGCAACCUUUUAUAAAAUACCCCGCGUUCCCACAGCCAUAGCAUUUUCUAAUCUUAGUCCUAGAUUUUGAUCUAGACCUACCCUUGCCCUUCUUUUUCCCUCCAUUACCACUCGACUCGCCACCGCUUUGGUAUCCAUCAUGACUAUUUUGCCUAAACUAAGCUCUACCCCACAUCAUAUGUAACUCAUCGCUCCUCUUAUUGUGUUUUUCAACCCUAAUUUCCAUCUCUUUACUCUUAAGAGAAUCAAUGACAAUUUUAUGUGCCAAUGUAUCCCUACCAUACUUAAUGGCAUUUUUAACUUCCUUAUAAGAAUCAGAAAUAGCAUUGAACAAGAUUAUAGCUUUAUAAGUUUCGGACACAGCUUCAUCACAAUUAACGAGAUCUUGCACCAAUUUGUUAAACACAUCUAAAUUGUCAUCGAGAUCCUUUGAAUGAUCCAUUUUAAAACUGAAAAAACUUUCAAGCAGGUAGAGUUUAUUUAGUGUAGAUUUAAGCAAAUACAAGUCUUUCAACUUUUUUUUAAAGUUCUUUGGUGGUUUUCAGUUUACCCACCUCCCUUAAAACGUUGAUUUUUUUUUGACCCUAUGAAUGUUUUUGAAGCUUACCAAUGGGCUUUGCACUUGGAGAAAACCUUGUCUAGGAGGACUUGGAGUACUGGUAUUGGUGGGGUGAGCAAUGGUAGUAGUAUUGGAAGAAAUGAGAUGAACCAACCACGAACUGUAUGUACUCCAUCUUCACAAACUAAAGGGGCACUAAUGCCCAGUCGAGUAGGGGGGUAGCAUCAAGUUCCUAGGCACGAUGUUUCAAGUGUAAUGAGAAGGGUCAUCGCACGGUAGAUUGCAAAAAAAGUGGUAGAUAUGGUAAGGGGUUAUUCAUUAAUUCUAGAAUUCAGCUGCUGAUGUCGAUCAAGAACCUAUUUACGAUGAUAGAGAGGAGGAAUACGAAGAGGAACAGGUUGCAGGUGAUGAAGGCCCUUUGUUAGUAGUGAGGAGGGCGUGUUUGGCACCUCUUAAGGAUGAAGAAGAUAACUGGCUACGUCACAAUAUCUUCCAGUCGAACUGUACCAUUGGCGGCAAGGUUUGUCAACUUAUCAUUGAUUCAGGCAACUACGAGAACGUGAUUUCUGGUGAGACUAUUAAGAAGUUGGGAAUGGAGAUGGAGAAGCAUCCUAUUUCUUACAAAUUGGCAUGGCUCAAGAAGAGAAGUGAGGUAACUAUUUCUAAGCGUUGCUUAGUCUCAUUUUCUAUCGGCGCGAAGAAUAAGGAUAAAAUUUGGUGUGACGUGAUAACCAUGGAUGCAUGUCAUCUUUUAUUGGGUCGAUCAUGGCAAUUUGAUAGGGAUGUUAUCCACGAUGGAAGGCAAAAUACGUAUAGUUUUGUGUUUAACAAAGUAAAGAUUGUCUUACUCCCUAACAAAAUGGAGGAGUCCCAAAACGCUUCGGGAGGGGGAGAGCAGAUUUUGUUAGCUAGGAGGGACUUUAUGAAUGAGUUAUAGGAGUUUGGAGUGGUGUGUUUGUGUUGUUGGGAAAAGAGGGUUAUGCAGGGAAAAAGGUACCAGCUCGCGUGAACAAAUUAGUUGAGGAAUUUUCUGAUCUAUUUCUAGAUGAACUACCGGAAGGUUUGCCACCAUUGAGAGAAAUACAACAUCAAAUUGACUUGGUUCCUGGUUCUAACAUACCGAACCGACCACAUUAUAGCAUGACCCCCAAGGAGCAUGAGGAGCUUAGGCAUUGGGUAAAGACCUUGUUGUCAAAGGGUCAUAUCAGAGAAAGUCUUAGUCCCUGUGUUGUGCCAACAUUACUUACUCCAAAAAAAGACGAGUCCUGGAGGAUGUGCGUUGACAGUAAGGCUAUCAACAAAAUCACAAUUAGGUACAGAUUUUCUGUUCCUUGACUAGAUGAUUUGUUGGAUCAACUAAGUGGUGCUACUGUGUUUACCAAGUUAGAUUUGAAGAGUGGUUAUUGUCAGAUACGUAUACGUCCAGGAGAUGAGUGGAAAACUUCUUUCAAAACUAGGGAGAGGUUGUAUGAGUGGUUGGUGAUGCCCUUUGGGUUAUUUAAUGCCCCCAGUACCUUUAUACGGGUGAUGAACCAGAUUUUUAGGCCGUUCAUUGGCCGGUGUCUUGUAGUUUAUUUCGACGAUAUAUUGACAUAUAGUGCUAUUGUGGAGUUGCAUCUUCAGCAAUUAAGAGAGGUUUUGGAGGUACUACGCAGGGAGAAGUUUUUCGUAGCCUUAGCCAAAUGUUCUUUCAUGAUGAACUCGAUCUUAUUUCUAGGCUAUGUAGUUUCCAAGGCUGGUCUAUAUGUCGAUGAAUCCAAAGUUGCAACUACUCGAAACUGGCCACUUCCUACCACUAUUCAGGAGGUACGUAGCUUCCAUGGGUUGGUAUCUUUUUACAGGCAUUUUAUUCCAAAUUUUAGUACUGUUACGGUACCACUCAUGGAUUGUAUGAAGGGUGAAAAAUUCAUGUGGACAAAUGAAGCAAUCGAGGCAUUUGAACAAAUUAAGGAGAAGUUAAUAACCGCUUCUAUACUUGUGAUGCCGGAUUUUUCUCAACCUUUUGAGUUAUAUUGUGAUGCCUCUGGAGUUGGCAUUGGGGCCAUUCUCAGUCAAGGGAGCAUGCCCGUGGCUUACUUCAAUGAGAAAUUGAAUGGGUCCAAACUUAAAUAAAGUACCUAUGAUGUGGAAUUUUUUUCUGUUGUUCGGGUCUUGAAGCAUUAGAGCUCUUAUCUAGCAUAUAAUGAGUUCAUCCUCUAUUCAGAUCAUGAGGCAUUGAAUCGCCUUCAUAAUCAGGAUAAACUCUCCACUAGACAUGCACGUUGGGCAUCUUACACUUAAUAAUUUUCUUUCAUCAUUAAACACAAAGAAAACCAAUUUUGUGUGCCCGAAGGGAGUCGACGCCUGAAGAUUAUUCAAGAAUUACACAAUAAAGGUCAUGUGGGGCAUGACAAAACUUUGAAGCUUAUCACGGAGCAAUUUUUCUGGCCUCAUAUGCAGAACGAAGUCGCAAAAUUUGUGGAGGGAUGUAAGAUUUGUCAGGUCUCGAAAGGGAAAGCAACUAAUGCAAGUCUUUAUUUGCCCUUGCCUAUUCCAGACCGACCUUGAACUAGUGUUAGCAUGGAUUUUGUGUUGGGGUUGCCUAGAACACAAUGCGAAUAUGAUUCUAUUUUUGUGGUGGUAGACAGGUUCUCCAAGAUAGCACACUUUGUGGCUUAUAAGAAGACAUCAGAUGCUGUUCAUGUGGCACAACUUUAUUUUCGUGAGAUAUAUCGAUUACAUGGAUUGCCAUCGUCCAUUGCGUCUGACAAAGACACUCAUUUUCUUAGCCACUUCUGGAGAUGUUUGUGGUGUUUGUCUAAUACCAAGCUCGACUUUAGUAGUACCUAUCAUCCUCAAACCAAUGGACAAAUCGAAGUUGUAAACCUUCUUUGGGAGACUUGUUACGAUAUCUGGUGGGUGAUCACUUGAAGUCCUGGGAUCAGAAAUUAUUUCAGGCUGAGUUUGCUUACAACCGGUCUACUAAUAGGAGUACGGGGUUUAGUCCUUUUCAUGUAGUUUAUGGUUAUAACCCUCGCGCACCACUUGAUUUAGCUCCUCUUCCUGAUAUCAGACGAGUUCAUGUCAAGGCUCAAGAUUUAAUAAGUCAAAUUCAGAAAACCCAUGAAGCAACGGUCAAGAACUUGCAAGAUUCUAUUGCCAGGUAUAAGGUGACUGCGGAUGUGAAGAAGCAUUUUGUGGAGUUUGAAGUGGGAGGUUUUUAUGGGCUAUCUGACAAAAGAUCGAUUUUCUACUGCUCGGAAAAUUGGACUGCUGGAAAUAAUUGAAAAGAUCAAUCCUAAUACAUACAGGUUGAAACUUCCAAGCAAUGUGGUGACCAGUGAUGUCUUUAAUGUCAAGCACCUGAUUCCAUAUGUUGGCGAUUCAUCAAUGGAGUACUCGAAUUCGAGGGCGAAUUCUCUCCAACUCGGGGAGGAUGAUGUAGAUUGUGUGGCAGCAACAGGAUGAUUAGUCCAUGUGAUGGCAUGAGAUAUAGAAAUAAACCAAUUUAUUUUACCAAGUUAUUUUAUUAGCUUUUCUUUCUAUUAUUUUUAUUAUUAUGUUGGUCGAGUUUAAGGAAAGUUCCAAUAAGUUAAUUAUUCUGCCAGUCAAUGUUUUGGUAAGUUUUCUACCUAGUUUUUUUUAGUUUUUAUUUAUAUUUGGGGGCAUAUUCUGAAAGGACGUUUUUUGGAGAUAGAAUUAACAUCAAUAAGAAUUUUCUUUCUUAACUCCUGCAUUCCUAGUUCUGGUUCUAGGUUGUGGAAGAGUUGUGAACUUACUGUGAUCACAGAUUUUGCUUCUGUUCCGUUUUCCUGCUGCAUUACUACCCCUACUGGCUCGGUCCAAAUUUAUAGGUUGGGCAAAGCAUGGUUUACUAAGUGAGCCAUAUGAUGAUACAAGAAGUAGGUUUCACCUGAACUGACUUUUAUGAAUGGAGAAAUUAGGGUGGUGGAAAGAGGGGGAAGACAAAAAGCGGCGGUGAUAAUAGAGUAUUAGCUUAACUCAUUGACUUUGGAAUUGGAUUUUGGGCUAUAAACCGAUCUAAUUGUUCCCAUUGAUAUCUUUUGCAUAUUGCAAUUCCGAGUAAAUGGAACUUAACACAAGUUAAUUCCUGUCAAAAAUAUUUGUGCAUAUACUUGAGGCAUUCUCUUUUCCUUGGCUAUUUUCACAUGUCCUUCCAGUUUUUUCAACUCUAAAAUCUUAUUAUUUCAUCAAUUUCAGCAUUAGUCAGACAAUCAUUUUUCAUGGCUUCAUCUUCAACAAAUUUCCCCAUGGGAGAUUUAGUCCAAAAAUAUUAAUGGAGCUUCAAUGUGCUUAGUGGGACAAUUAUCUGGCCCGUUACUUGAACAUUCCAACGUCCACAUGGGUAAAAUUAAACAUAAAAAAGGCAAAAAAAGAAAUGAAAAAAGGAAAAAAAUGGUUUCGUCUUCUGAGCAGCCACGGAAGAAUACAUAUUCUACUUAUUUUUCAUCGUUUUCCCUUUGUCCACUUCUUUCUGUGCUCAUGAGACGAGUAUUGAGGAAGAUGAAGAUGGAGAGCGUGAUGGUAAAGCGGGAUUGAAGGUGAGAUCAGAAUAUAAGUAGAUGUGCAUUGUUGAGACAGCAAUCUUUCUGCUCACACAUGAUCACCUGUCAAAGUACUUGGUUUCUCUACUGCGAUGCAGUGAUGGAAAUGAUAGAAAUCAUCCACUGCCACCUAGAAACAGAAGUAUUUCUUUUUCCUAUGCUAUUUUCACCGUUUCUUCCAAUAUUUUUCUACAUUUCAACUCUAAAAUCAGAUUGAUCACCGGUUCAGCCCGAGUCAAAGAAAUAACUACAAGUAGCUUCAUCUUCAUCAACCUUUCCCCAAAAAUUAUACAAGUUUUGGACUGAAAUCUCAUUACAUGAUUUGAGAGCAUGUUUACAUUAAACAUGCACCAAAGGUGCACCUAAUGUGCACCUAACAUGCACUUGAUGUUCACAUCUCGUAGAAUCCAAUAUUCGUGUCAAAAUAUUUGUGUCAAUAUUUUUGUGCAUAUGCUAUAGGAGUUCCCUCUCCUUUGCUAUUGUCACCAACACUAAAAUCAGAUUGAUUUUAUUAAUUUUAGCCCACGUUAAAGAAUCCCUACUCAUGUCUUCAUCUUCAAUUUUCCCCAUGUUUAUAUACAUUGUUCGAAAAAAAAUUUGCCAAAAGAGAUUCUGUCCAAACGUACUAACAGAUGUUCUACAAAAUCAAUAAUUGGACUUCUCUACUGCGGACUGAUCAAUUAUUUGCCCCGUUGUUAACACGACACUCAAAGUGAUUAUUUUUGACAUAUUACUAGGAAAACCUCCCUAUCCUUUGGAUCUAUUGCGGAAUAUUAUCUAUCUUCUCAAAUUUACUGAAAACGCCCAUAUAUGACUUCUUAGGUACGAAAGACUCCCUUUUCUCAUUUUCUCAAUAAAGCCUCCCGAAUAACAAACAUAUCCUCCUAUUUAUACAAAAAAUAAAAAAUAAAGAACGAAUUUCCACUACAAGAAAAAUGGCAUUUUGCAACAUGUAAAAGGCAACUUUCAUUAAUUGCAUGUUGCUAGAAGGGGCCUAUCGUAACAUUUAGCAAGUGUAUGUUGCUAUUGAUUCAUUAAAUUGAGUUUUGACAACUUUUUUUUUUAAUGAAUGUUGCUAAUACAACCUUUUGCAAUGUUUGGGGUCCAUUCGUUUUAUUAUUAUUAUUAUUUUUUUUUUUUUGCAACAUGCAAUUUUUUUUUUUUUUUGCAACAUGCAAUUUUUUUUUUUUUUUGCAACAUGCAAUUUUUUUUUUUUUUUGCAACGUGCAUUUAAUGCUUUAGCAACGUGCAAUGCAUGUCACCAUUAAUUAGCUUAAGCAACAAGCAAUGCGCAUCACCAUUAGGUGUUUUAGCAUUGCGCAUUUAAAAGUUGUCAUUAAUGUUUUAGCAACAUGCACUGUGCGUUGCUGUUAAACGUUUUAAUAACACACAUAUGAAUGUUGUCAUUAAUCUUUUCGCAACGUUUAUUGCACGUUGUCGUUAAAUAUUUUAGCAACACACGUUUGAGCGUUACCAUUAAUCUUUUAACAACGUGCAUUACACAUUGCCAUUAUUUAUCAUAGCAAUUUAACCAGUCUAACCCAAAAUAAAGUGAAUCUAGCCCAUCAAAAGAUCCAACUCACAAAAAAAUUUAAUUUACAAAAAGUAGAAAUCCUAAACUGAUUUUUCACUACUUCCUUCCUCCAUUGAGGCCUCUCCAACAAAAUCAAAAUCAUUUAAACACCAAAAUCCUUCUCUCUCACAAGAAAAGUGGCACAAAUCUUUGUAUGUUGAUAAUAACAAGCCACCAGAUUUUUUUCUUAACUGAUUUUCCAAUGAAUUAUUCCGUUGAAAACUAGAUAAAAGAGUGAUUCUCUAUUCAAUUGUAUAGUGUGUGUGUGUGUGUGUGUGUAUAGUCUUCCAUACACUUCCUCUUUAACACUAAUUUUCACUUGCUUUCUCGCCACCUCCUUCGCAGACCACCAUCAAAUUGAAGUAGGCCGAGACGUCGGAAGCAGAAGAAGAACAAUAAGUCAUCAUAAGCCUUAGCCACUGGAGAUGAUAGCGACACUGCUUUUGAGGAUGGGUGUUUUUUAAAAAACCAGAAACACUUCUUGAUUUCUUUCAAAUCAUAUCUAAAUCCCUCUUCAUCUAUGUAAUCCACUAUUGAAAUGGACAGCUUAGCAGUAAACCGCUUCAUGGAACUAAAAGAAGAAGAAACUCAUAAGAAACUAGGAGAUGGAGCAAAAGGGACAGCAUGAACAGGAUGAAAUGACGGUGAAAUACCUGAUGAAGAAUACAUGGAGGCUGAUUUUGAUUCUGAAGCUAGGGCUAAACUCUUCUGACUCCAAAGUCAAGGUAUGUUUCUAGGUUUAUGUGUGUGCAUGUGUGUGUGUUGUUAUGUUUAUCUUUGUAUAAAUAGGUGUGAUAGCAUUUGAUUUUAUUUGGGGUUUGAAUUGUAGGAAUUGGAAGAUAUGAAGAAGAGAUUGCAGGAGAUUGAGGAAGAAGCAGGGACAAUGCGAGGUAUGUAGGCCACGGUGGAGAAACAGACUGUCAAGGCUCAAGGUCUUUUUAUUACUCACUCUAAGUGCUUGUUCCUAUAUAUGUUUGAUGUCAUAUAUAGAUGUAUUUUAAAAAUUCUUGACUUUGUCUAAGUUUACUUUUAUAACUAAAUUGCCCAUGAUGGGUUGAUUUCGUAAUCUUUGUAGAUUCCAGUGGUUUAAGACUUUUAGAUGAGUAGGAAACAUUCUACUUUUUAUCUUAGUGGCUACAACAUUAGUGAAUAUGGACUUAUUUAAUAGAUACCUCACAAGAGGCUAUAGGAUAAUAUUUCAGUUGUAAAUUCAUUUUCCUAAUGAAAUUGACUCCUUUGACAGAUUUUGGAUUGUUGAGAAGUAAAAAAUUUAAUGCAUCAUUAAAGAUUUUGAUAUAAGGAAAGAUAAUUGUGAGAAUCUACAAUAGGGGACCAUUUAAGGGGAAGUGGAGUACUAAAGUUCCUAAGUUAGCAAUGAUACAUCUUAAAAAGUACUACGUUAUUUAAACUAAGAGCCUUAUGAGUUUAGGAUUGCUUGAGAACUACAUGAAAAGCCACGAUAUGCUCUUGAGGUAGGCGUUAUACUUGUUACCAAAAGUCGGUAGUGCAUUGAUGAAUAUGCUCUUAAUUGUCAUUGACCUUACCAAGUAAAAUUUUCAAUUUAUGAAGUAACGUUAAAUUUUUUCACUUUCUCAUUUUUAUUUGAAAAUUCUACCAUUCUUUUUAACUAUUUUUCCUUAGGUUUUCCAUGUAUUGCAAAUUGUAGAAAACACAAUUGUUUUAAAGGAUUGAUUUGUGUCUUCUCUUGACUAUCAAUUAUUUUAUUGUGUUUUAUGCCUUUUGACAUUGCAAUUUUUCUUGUUUCUUGUUGCUAAAUAUCAUUGAAAUUUGAGAUUGAUGAUUGUUCCUUUGCUGUCUAUGGGGUUCAUUUUGCAUCUGUUUGCUUUCUGUAAGAAUUCUAUUGUUCCCUAAAAUCUUUAGUUUUAAUCGUUGAUAUCGUUUGUCUAACUGUGGGGUACAUGAAUUUAGGAAUUAUUAUUUGAAUUUAAAAUCAAAGCUGUAAUUUUUUAUGUUAUUUAAAGCUACAGUCUUCACAAUGAAAGAUCCCUAUUUGCAACCUUUGCGUUACUGAUUACAAUUUUACUUUGGUUAUAAUAGAAUGAUAUAAUUCAAGUCAGGCUUUUCACAUUAUCUUCAUCUGUUUUUUCUUUUUUUCUCCAAUGAUUGCUUAAAUAGGCGGAUCUUUGAAUCUACAAGAUAGGAGAGUCCUUGAUUUUUAAUUUUUUUUUUUUUUUUUGUAAAGAUGGUCAUAUACAGGAUUUCCUCGUGCUCAAUUAUUGGCAAAUGCACAAGCAGCAAUUCAAAGGAAAAGUAAGGUAAAUUCUUGAAUUUUCUACCAUUUUUCUUGAAAUGCAGGAAGGUGACGCUAUUGAGCUCCAGAAGAAAGUAAUGUGGAUUGCCUGCUAGAUGUUCGUAAUUUCUUUUCUCUCUCUUUUAUUUUUAAGAUGAGCGUAAGAGAAUGUUUGCACUUAUUUCUAUAGUUUGUUCUAUAUUUUAAGUGUAUAGAUUCAAAUUUGUAAUGAAAUUUUUAUUUUUUCGCGAUUCAAAUUUUUUUCACAAGGUGUAAAUCUUUAAUUUUCUAGUUUAAUUUCAUAAAUUCCUUUAAAAAGUAUAAAAAAAAAUGUAAAAUGAUCUACGACAAUGAUAAAAAAUAUUUUAGAAAAAGAAUAAAAGCAAAGACAACGUGCAAAAAAUGCUGUAAAAUAUAUAAGACAAAAACAAAGGCAACGAUCAAUGGAUGUUGUGAAAACUUUAAAGGCAAUGGUAAGUAAAUAAUGCCAAAAGUAUAAAGGCAACAAUCAAUGGAUGUUGCCAAAACUGCAAAGGCAACAGUUAGAGAAUGCUGCAAAAACAUGUAAAUGCAACAUAUAAAAAACGUUGCAAAAGGUUAAAUGCAACGUUCAUUGAGCCUUUUGCAACGGUUAAUGAACGUUGCAAAAAAGCCUUUCACAAUGGUCUUUGAACAUUGUUGUAUCCUUUAACUCUACGACAAUAUCGAAGCCUGCAACGCACGCGUAAACAUUGCAAAAGGUCUUUCGAAAAUUUUUUGACCGUUGCAAAAGAGAGUUUUUGGUGUGGUGUUCAAUUGUAGUCAUAAUUUUUUUUAAAAAAAAGUAUAAACGAGUCCCAAAUAAAUAAUUAAAAAAAAAGACUCUCUUUCUUUCCCACCUACCCUAUAUUCCUACCACCACCUUUCUCUAGUCAUUUUUCCAAAUAUAAAUACUUGCUAAGGUUUGUUAGCCCCCAUGUCUUAAUCCUACACAUCUUAGAGAGAAAUUAGAAAGAAAAGAAAAAGACUGCAAAGAGUGAAUGAAAGUGGGACUGAAUAAGAAUUAUGGCGGACAACAUUGGAGUGGUGGCACAUCUUCAGAGUUGGAUUCCAAAAGAUGAUCUAUUGCUUAAAACUGUUUGAUAUACAACCCUUUUAAGCACCAUGUGAUUUUGUUCAAGAUUUUUUUCUUCUUCUUGGUAGUACCAGAAAUUCCUAGAGGCAUACUAUCAGAAAAACUUCCUUGACCAAUUGGGUAGAUCAAGAAAACAGCGAUAGCAGCUGCAACGGGAGCUGAAUAUGCAACAACAAUCUAAGGUUGCAUACCCAAACGAAAACUAAGCUUCCACUCACGACCCAUGUAACAAGGUAUACCAAGUAAGAGGGAAGUUAUGAGCAUUACGUUCAUGCAUGAGAUGUUCACACCAAAGAUGUACCUAAUGUGCACCUGACGUGUACUUGAUGUUCAUAACUUAUCAAAUCUAAUAUCUUUGCAUCAAGUGAGUUCUUGUCAAAAUAUUUGUGUCAAUAUUUUUGUGCAUAUACUAGAGGCACUCCCUUUUCCUUUGCUAUUUUCACCAACACUAAACUUAGAUUGAUUUCAUCAAAUUUAGCAUGCAUCAAAGAAUCCCUAUUGUUAGGUUUUAUAUUGUAAUUGGCGAUUCUGUGAACAUAAGGGACUUAAUUGAACAUGUUGUAAAAGUUGGGGACUUGAGUUGCAAUUUGUAUAGAUGGUUUAGGCUAGGUUGAAUUUGGAACAAGGUAGAAUACUCAUUGAAUUUUCACUAGCUGGUCACCAAGUUGUUGCUCGAGCGGAGGAAGCAGAACCAUCGUCACCCGUUUGUCGUCCCAGCGUCAUUGGAGCGAAGAAGCUGUUGCUUGUUUCUAUUUAAGGUGUAGCUCAAGCGAUAGUGAUAUGUGGCCAAACCCUAUGUUGCGAUUUGAAGAAUUUUACAUUGCCCAUGAGACCUGUUUGUCCCCAAGAAUAAAUAUAGAACUCAUGGACGUGAUAAUGAGAGGUUGCUACAUUGUGCUAACUUUGAAUACACUUUA